rnacentral:lncRNA from 1 species
GAGAGAAGAGGUCAAUUUGGUUCAUCUCAAAGUUUAUCAAUUUUAAUAUCCGAAGUUUAGGGGGAGGGUGAAGAAGAGUAUGGUGAAAGAAUUAAUAUAAGAGCAUAAACCAAAUAUGAUAUGUAUAAAAGAAACAAAAUUAGAAGUGGAGAGGAAAUUUUUUGUUAUGCAAUGAUAGGAUUGUGAUUUUGAUUGGGGUUUUAGGCUAACAAUUGAGAGAUUUGGAGGACUAGUUAUUAUAUAUGCUAGAAUUACUGUUAUAUUUUAGUCUAAUAACAGCAGUAAAGUUGUUUUAGUUAUAUCUACUCUGACAUAGUAGCAUUGGUUUCUCCCCUAUGUAAUCUUGUUUCUCUCUCUCAUUGUAAUCAGACUUUACAUAUAUAUGAAAUAACUAAGUGUUGUUGGUAACUCAAUCAGACCCUUUAACAAUGUAGUCCUUAAAUUUAACAUGGUAUCAGAGUUGGUUGAUCUCGUUCUACUUAUUGUUGCCCUCUGUCAUCUGCUACCGUCUGUUAUCUCCGGCCAGCUAGUGUUAUUUUUCUCCAGCGGGUUGGUGCGCCUUGUCAAGCACAGUCGAACCCAAGUGUUUUGGAUCUAGAUUUUGACCCAGUAAUGAAGAGUGGGUUCUCUUUUUUCUUCUCUUGUCAUUUUCUUUUCUUUGUCAGAUCUACUUUUCUUCGGUAGGCCUUUGUUGUCACCAAUGCCACCAUUGUACUCGUCUCCCUUUAGCAAGUCUAACCUAGUGGUCAGUUGCUAUUGCCUUUGCCAGAGCCGUCACACCGAUCGCUAGAGUUGCCGUCGAAAUUGUCAUUGUUUGACUGUUAUUUUGUUGUUUUCACCUAAAGAUUCCAUUUCUACUUUUUCCUUUCUUGGUGUUAGUUUGGGGGUUUUUCAAUCCUCCAUUUACGCAAAUAUAGACGGUUCAUCCAAGUCAAGGCUUCUGGUGUUGUUUGUUCAUUUUAUUGGUCAUGUUUGUUUCUCUGGCUUGGUAACAAUGUAGAGCAAGGCCAGUUUAUUGGUAGUGGUUAAGCAUUGUGUUAAGCUUCUGCCAUCGAUGGUUAAACAUUGAGAUGUUAUGCUUCUGUCCAUAGUGGCUAAGCCUUUUGUUAAGCUUCUGCCAUGGAUGGUUAAGCAUUGAGAUGUUAUGCUUCUAUCCAUGGUGGUUAAGCAUUAUGUCAAGCUUCUGCCAUGGAUGUUUUAGCGUUGAUAUGUGUUGCUUCUACCUUUGUGGUGGUUAAGCAUUUUUCAUUGGCUUGCUUCUGCCUUUUAGGUGGUAAAGCAUGUUUGCUUCUGUUAAGUGGUUAAUCCUUGGGUUGUGGCUUAUGCUUAAUGGUUAAGCAUAUGUGCAUUGGCUUUGAAUGUUUUCAGUCAUUGUCUAUCUUUCACCAAACUAUUUUUUGGCACUCUUCAUUGUAUUUUGCUUUCAUUUGAUAUUUGUGUUGUUCAUCCCAAGCUGGAAGUUUUGUGAACACCUUUCAGCUUACGAAGGCCUAUUAGAAUUUUGGCCUUGUUUGUCCUUGUCCUAAAUGCAUGGGUUCGAUCUGGUGUCCUAGAUGCUUUGUCCCCGUCCUUGUCCCAGAUGCACUAGCUCCGUCCAUGUCCCAAAUGCACUGGCUUUGUCCUUGUCCCAAAUGCACUAGCCUGACUUUGUCACGGUUGCAUUGGCUUUGUCCUUGUCCCAAAUGCAUAGGUUUAAUCUAGUCAAGAAUCAUUAUUUUUUUCAAGGCAAUGUAUAGUAAUAAGCUAAAAGCUUAGCAAGCUUUAGCUUGAAGGGGAGCAUUGGAGGCCACUAGUCAAAGUUUAUAUCAGAGGAAACUAGUCAAAAGUCCAUAUUUCUGGAAUAUGUUAUUCAAAACAUAAUUGUGCCUUCUUUGUCAGCUCUUCCUUUACUUGUUUCAAGUCCCAUUGUGUUGUUUAUAUUCUUGUUGUCAUUUGUUUCAAGUUUUAGGAUCCUUCUUUGUUUUGCUUAGAGGAAGUAACAUCAUGGCUAGUAUUGCUGUCAUUAUUGGAUGGAUGAUGCAACAUUUUCUUGCAUUCAUUCUUGGACAGAAUUGUUGUUGGGGUUUUGAUUUUGAGCAAAAUUAUUUAAGAUGACCUUGUAUCCAUUGGUUGCAUUGUUAUCAUGAGUUUCAGUUGGCUCCUCCGCAUCAUGAGUUAGAAGAAGACUUUUCAGUAUUUGGUGUUGUAUUCUGCGCACUGGAGUCCUCUACCUUGGAGUUAUUUUCAUCCUUUGAUGCUUCAAUUCAUAUGUUCGAAGCUUGGAGCAGACAAUCUAUAUACUCAAGGUGGAGGGGGAGUGUUAGGUUUACUGUUGUAUUUUAUCCUAGUGACAACAAUAAAGUUGUUUUAGUUGUAUCUACUUUGGCAUAGUAGAUUUAGGCUUUUCCCCUAUGUAAUCUUGUUUUUGUCUCUCUGUAACCAAACAUCACAUAUAUAUAAAUCAGUUGAGUGUGGUUAGUGAAGUGAACAAAAUAAAACAAAGAAGGGAGUUGAAUUGUGUUUUCAAAUAAACUUCUCAGUAUAAUUUUCUCAACCAGUUUCUAGAUGAAUUACUUAUAAAAGCAUUAUUUAAUAAAUGAUUAUAGAAUAAGCAAUAAUAGUGAAAUAGGAAGAAAAUGGCAUAGCAGAUUUAUACUGGUUCAUCCCAAGUCAUAGGGCUACGUCCAGUCCUCACUCAACCUAGUGAGAUUUCACUAUCACAACCCUAGUUGCACUAGUACACAAUAGCACAACACCUAAACUCAUGGUGUCAACAACCUAUAACUUAACCCAAGUCCUAGAACAGGAGCUCAAACCUUAAUCAAUGACAAUCCCACUAACUUAAGGCAUACACAGUUGUUCCCUCACCACAACGCCAACCCUUGACCUUGGAUUGGAGACUUAUCUCAUAUUAUAGAAAAAGAGGUUUUCUGUGAAGGUACUACACAUAUACAAAUUCUUCAUAAAAUAGAAGGUUUCCACUCAGGAAUACAAAUCUUACUUCUCAUAUUUACAAUGUAAGCUCAAGUUGGAAGUGGGUGACUCUCAGCAAAGAGGCAGAAGCAAAUUUUCUCACUCGGAGAAGGCUUCAUAUUUUUUGUUCUUGCUUCAAUGGAGUUGUUUGCUUCGAAUGGCAACUUGGACUUUUUUAAGAAGACUUUCAUUAAACUGCCUGUUGGAUGUAGUGACCACAUUGUAAGUUGUUGCAGAAAUUCAAAAUUUGUGCCAGCUGUGUUAUGUUCUGCCAGAAUUUAAAAGUCAUUAUGAACUUUUCAUUCUAAAGUACAACUUAGUGAAGCAUAUAUCAGAAAGGGUUUCUGAUAUUUUUUUGAGUAGUAGAUCUUAAUCUAUAGCAGUUGCUCUAGAAUGAAUAUUGGGGAUGUGUCUUUGUAGAUAGUUCAGCUUCAUUCUUCUUCAUUAUACAACACAAGUUUCUUCAGGAUUGAUCCUUCGAUGCUUGUUGUAGUUGUGACAUAUGUUUCCUUUGUUUAGACUUUCCAAUGUCUAUCUCAUUCUGAUAUAGAAAUCAAUUAUGAUUAAAGGAUAAAACUCAGCUUCUUCAGUAUCUUGCAUCUUUGAAUUGAGAAAUUUCAGUUUUCUAAUGAAUCCUCGGAAUGUGACUCAUGUGGAAGUCUGGAAGAGACUCAAUAACUUCAUCAAAUGUUGCAGUUUCAAGACUUAUGAUGAUACCUUAGAAAGUGUAUCAUAUGGAUAACAUGAUCUUGCCUAGCUUUAUUCUGAUGGAAGUUUCUUUGGAUUGCUUGCUUUGAAUGUAAGUUAGAGGUAGAGAACUUCAUGUUCUGAUCCAGAUAAUUUGUUCUUAGCUUUAAUCAGAUGCUUGCUCAUAUUAAUGCAGAUAAUCAUUCUGAUAUCUGAUUUUGAUGUUGCUUCAUUGUAAUAUGUCUUGUUUUGUAUCUUCUAUUGUUUCUUCAGUUUGAAGCUUUUUGGAAGCUCUUGCUUGUUUCCAAUCUUGGUCAUUUCAAAAGGAGACUUUGGUCAUCAUAGAUGUGCUUCAAUUUUUCUUCUGAAAGUUACUUCACUUGAAUGCAAAUUGCUUCCAUUUUGAACUUCAUUUUGAACACAUUAGAAUGUUGAACUUGUCUUCGCUUUAUGAUUUAUCAUUCAAACAUUAGUAAAUAAGUCAGUCCAUAUAUUUUUCUCCAUUAUCCUUAUAAUUUGCAUGACUAAUGGUUUGUCAUAAUUAAAAUCAGGGAUACAAAUUCAACAGUUAGUAACUCACUCAAACCCUUCAACAAUGCAGUCCUCAAAUUGAGCAAUAUUUAUAAGGCUGUUGAAAUAGAACUUCUAAAACUAGAGUUUUAGUGACAAUAAACUUCUGAGAAGCAAAUUCCAAGUUAUCCAGGCUUAGCUACUAAUGGUUUGCUUUGAUAAUAUGUUUAUAAUACAAGACUUGAUUAAGAAGCAUGAAGAAAGGUGUAAAGCAUCAGCCUAAAGUAUGCCAACCUUUCAUACAUAGGAUUUGCCACAUUAGAAGCAAGAGUACCAAAAAUAAAGUUAACAAGAAGCAUCAAAGACAUAUCAUGUUUUCAAAGACCAAAGUGUAAAUAAAUUAGUAGUUGUGCAUGAUCAUAAGGUAUCUCUAGCCAAGGGUAGACGCCCAAAGGUUAUACAUGAUUAAAGUAUCAUCAGAAGAUGCAUAAAUAAACAACGAAUGAGACACAAAUUUUUACAUUGUUCAAAAGCACAUAUUAGAAGCAUAGGAUCAACAAAAGUCAUGCAAAGUGCUCAAAAGAAGAUAUGCAAGUGUUCAGAAGCACAAACUUACAUAAGUCAUUAAGUCCACAUGAAGAUAAAACAACCAUAAGCUAACAAGAGUGAUAUAUAAGCACCGAGGUUACUAGAAGCAUCAUCAGGGAAAUCCUACAGAACCAGAAGAAGCACCAAGGUCAUGAGGCACCCAUAACAGUAACCAGAAGAUGUCAUGAAGCAACCACUAAGACAACAAGUACUAGCAGCUCUCCAACAACCAUAAACAGUUAGCUUAAGGUCCUAUUUAUGGAACUUCAUUUGAAAGAGCUCAUUGCAAAGGAAACAAUCCAUCAAAUGAGGGUAAGGUCACAAAACUCGAGCUUCUCAAGAGAGAUACCCCACAUUUCAAAUAGAGUCUUCCUUAAUCAAAACACUCUAGGAUUAAGGCCAAACUUUAUCCAUCUAAAAUAGUGUUCGUAAGCACCCUUGUGUGAAAUCUCAUUGAAGAAGGUCUCCUAAGAGGUACGUCAGAAUUUGUCCAAACAAAACCCCAAGUGAGUAGAAUCUCGAUGGAGGUCUCCUAAUAUAACCAUAAUGUAUAUUUUUUUUUAGUAUAAUUAAUUAUACAUUUUCAGUUAUCCCAAACAUAUUUUUACUAUGUCAAACAAUAUUCAAGCAUAAUAAUAGACAUUCUAGAAAAAAAAAUUCAUGCGCUCUUGAUCAAGUCAACUUAACACUAUUAUUUUGUACAUGAAAUAAUAACACAUUAUAUUAGUGACAUCAUAAUUUGGUAUGUUGUACAUCUUAUUGCUUAACGCUUCAAAAAGCAUUAAAAAAUGUUUUUCUAUAUGUUUAAAAAUUACAUGACUUGUACAAUUUCACAUCACCCUUGCGACACGUGUUUAUAUCUAAUCUCCAUUAUGAGUAUACAAUUAAGUGAACGUAGUUAUUACUCGGGUAGCAGGGGCAAUCUAUCCAAGCUGUUGAAUGAGCCAUUCACACUGCCAUUGGAGGCAAAGUCAUCUAAUAAUUCACUAUCAAACUCAGAAGUUUCACUAGUUUUUACUUCAUCCGUUUCAUAAUGGGAUGGAAGUAUGCGCAAAUGUACACCUGAAUCUCCACUGAUUCUCCUUGUUUCUAGUUGGUAUUUGCGAACAAGUUCCAGCUGCAGAGAUAUUAUGUGUGAUGAUCUUGGGAGUAGAUCCACAGGUUCUCCCUUUAGAAUCACUGUAUGCUCUAUAGCCAUUCGCGCCUCCUGAAAUAUACAAAAAGCAAUUGUGCCAACCAUUCGUGAGACUCUUUAAUUUAAGUAUUGAAUUUAAAUUGUAAACUAUGGCCCCCAUGUUAUGCAUUCCUAGCUGAAGAAUACAGCAAUCAUUUUGGCAACAAUGGUAUUUAUUCAUUUCUAGUUUUCUACUUCAUCUAUGCCACGAUAUCAGUAAUCAAUCAUCAAAUAUUGGUUUGACAGAAAAAAAAAAAUGAAACUUACACAUGGAAAAAAAAGGAUUAUAAAAAGGGAGAAAAAAGAGAGGUGGGGCAGGGGAGGGGGAUUGAAGAAGUUUUCUGUCCCCAAUAAAAUUCACAAAUAACUAUCAGUAGAUUCAGAGAUAUAUAAGAUUAGUUUGGUGGUAAAGGGGUAAAGGGAGGAAGGGAUAGGUCGUGGGUUUGAAUCGUCCCGCCAACAAAAACUAACAAAUUAACAACUAAAAGUUGAAAAUAAAAAUAAAAAAACUACCAGUAGAUUCAGUCAGAUGUCUCAUAUUUGAUCAGAGGUAAGUUUACACCAUGAAGAACAACCAGUAAAGGAUUGCCAUGGUAACCCAUGACCUUAUUAAGACUAAAGUGGCCUUUAUUUCAUUGCUACCACCAUGCCAACCAACUCAACAAAGCUACACCAACAUGCAAUAGGGUUAUUGCUACCUUCACCAUCACUCUAGCUCACCAUUCUAAAGACUGGAAUUUGGCUCAAACUCAAAUCCAAUAGGUAAUCACAAAUAUUCUUGCAAUAGAUACAGUUUUUAUCAUUCAAAUGAUUAUGGGUCUGAGAUAACUAGCUGAAAAAAUUUGUGGUUUUGAUUAAUAUUGUUGGGCCCACAUCGACUGGAGAUAUGGCUUAAAUAAAGCUUAUAAAACUUAGGUAGUUCUCAACUUACAAGCCGGUUCUGUAGAAUUGAGUUAGGCCCUAAGACCAAAUUCUAAGAUGAUAUUUAAGCCUACACUAGAUCAGUUGUUGGGUCACUUGCAUUUGCCACCCUCCUGUAUUACAAGUCUGUUUUGUAGAGUUAAGUUAGACCUGUUUUGUUAGAAAAUUUAUUCUUUGAAUCAAGGGUAUCCUCAUCACCAUUUUAAGAAUACAUUUCACCACUUCAAACAAUUUUCAUUACUACAUUUCACUGCUAAUUUUCAUCAUAAAAUAAAAUUUUUAAGAAUACUUAAUUUGGCUAUCCACUAUAUAUCUUGGUAAGAAACACCACAAAUUGGGUAUGUUUGAAUUUUUGGUGGGACUGUUCCAAAAGUAUGUUUAAGAGUAAAAUUAAUUUGAGGUCAUGUUUGGUUACUCCCAAAAGUAUGUUUGAGAGUAAAAUUUUGCCUAGAAUCUCAGUUUUAGAGAAACAGAACUUAGGAUACUUUUGCAAACUUGGGUUUAACCUAAAAGCUAGCUCAUAAGAUGAGGGUUGCCUCUUACUUAUAUAAUCAAUCUUGCCUCUAUCUCUAGUCGAUGUGGGACUUGGGUAUUUCCCAAUACACUCUCUCAUCUCCAACACUUUUUGGGCUUGGUGCGUGAAUAAUAUGGUGAGUGACCCUUUUAAUGGAUCUAGGAUAGACUCUAAUACCACGUUGAAAGGGGAUUGGUUUUGUAUCACAAGAAUUACAUUAUCUAAUCACGCUUUUACAAGGGAACAACUAACCCUAAAGUAAAAAAACUAACAUAAGGAUAAAAAGAAAAAAUGUAAAAAGAAAAAGACGAUAAAAUAUCAAAUAAGAUAUAGAUAGAUCCCCUAAGAUAUUUCAGUUAUUUACAACAGGUAUGAAGCUACAAAUAGGCAAGCAAAGAUACCAGUGUUAAGCAAUAGUGCAAAUAUAUUAUGCUCACUCCAGAAUCCAGACAGCUAAAUUGGCUGUUUCUGAAUCCAUUUCCAUGUGUCUAUAGCUAUAUUUAGGAUUUGAGCAAUGUAUUUCUUACACAACUUAGUGAUUUUGAGCAUCAAUUGGUUUCCUCAAGUAAACAAAAACCAAAAAGAGAAAAGGAAAUAAAUGUUAAAACUAAAAUAAUAUUUAUAUUACCUCCAAAGCAUCAAUCAUCUCUGAGGAUUUUAUCUUGUCCGUUAGUUCAGAAUCCUUUAUACCAUCUUCAUGAUCACUUACUAAUGCCCGUAUGGCUUUUGCUACAUGCUCCAAAGAACUUGUCUAGAAGACAAAAAGAAUAUUGUUUAGCAAAAGUUAUGACAAAGUAUAGCUGUUUAACUAAAAACACAAUUUUAGAAAAUCAUUACCUUUGUCACAUAAAUGGGAAUAUCAUGAGAUUUAGCGGCAGCCUGGAUCCCUGGAUUCUUUUUAAGCUUGGAUUGUAAGGCAAGUAAAGCAUUUGCUUCACUAAUAUUAUCAGUCAAUUGAAUAGCCGCAUCAUUCAUUUUCAACUGCUUAACCCCUUGAAUAACAGUUGCCUCUAAAAUCUAGAAUUACUGACCAUUCUGUAAGUUAAACAGUCAACGAAAAAAAAAAUAAAAACAAAAAGAGAUUGCAUUAUUCAUUGCUUUGCUUGACCAACAAUUCUGUGAACUCAAUAUUGCCUUGGAUUGCAGGAGUUAUUUUUGAAUUACAACAAACAGGGUUUAUCUAAUUAUCAACACUGCUAACUUACAAUCAAAAGUGGAAACUGAAAAGCACCAGAAAACAUUAAAUGGGAGAAAGAAACUUUAUGUAAGGUUUGAUUCAGUUUAACUUGGUACUUUUUUACAUUUUAUUUUCCUCUUUCUCUAUCACUAGCUCAUGUGCUUUUUUUUCAAUUGAAGCAGCAUGUUACUGCUUUUUCCCCCUUUUAUUUGUCCUUUCUCCUUCCUGCCCUUUCUUUCUUUGCUUUUCCUUUUCCUUUGUCUUCUUUGUUUUCUUGUUUAUUUAUUUGUUUGCCUAGGAAGGAAAUUAGUCAUUUAAUAAGAUAUUAGAUUUUCACACAAAGUGGUUCACAAAUGUUAGAAACUAUUUGUCCUUAAUGGUGACUCUAAUUUGAGGAGGACAACAAUUUACAGCUAAAUAUAGAAUAAGAGAAUUGAAAGCUAUCGAAGAAUCAAUCCAGAUUUAAGAAGGAAUUGGAUGACACUCACAUCAUUCACAUAUCUUUACCUUAAAUUCUAGUGCAUUGGUAGAAAGCUGAAAAUAAAUUAUUACAAACAAAUUAAGGACCAAUUUGUUUAAACAAUUUUUUUUUAAAAAAAAAAGUGGUUUUUAAGAAGCAGAUAGGAUUUGCUUCUUAAAAAAAAGAAGUAAAUAGGCUAAGUGGGUAUUUAAGCUGUUAUUAAUGUUUAUUUCAUGCAUUUAUCUUAGGCUGUUAGCUGUUGCAUAACGGUGUCUUACCCCAUAACAAAACAGGCUAAGUGGCAAUUUAAGCUGCCAGGAAUCUUCCACCAAGUCAAUAGGCAACUUUAAAAGUGAUUCAUUUUGGUUGGUUUGGUCAUCAGACCCCUUUGUAGCUUUUUCAAACAUGAUUUCACCAUUCUUUUGAAGUGAACUGUCACUAACAAGUCCAUCUUGUAAAAUCUCUUCCUGUUCUUGAGACUUCAUCUUCCGUAUUUCUACAUUUGGAAAACGACCUACACCAACAAACCAAACAGCACAAAGUCAUAUAUCAAUCCACCGCAACCAUUUAUUUUGCCAGAGUGGCAACUUACCAGAAAGAAUAGCAUCCACGGUUGCUUCAAGGCUACGGUGAAUGCGCAACUCUGUCUUUGAAAUGAUCUCUACUCCACAACUAAAUGUAGAUGGGCCUUUCCUCUCCAAUACUGUCUUCUGAACACCCCUGCGACUGGCCUCUUCAUCCCCUAGUGUCACACUCUAAAAAAGGAUAAUAUAGCUGAAGUAAACAAAAAGAAUAAAUAUGUCCAUAAUUUUAGAUGCUCCUGGUGAUUGUAAAUUUAAUUAUUAGAACAUGAAGCAGAGGAAAAAGCAUAAACAUAUUAUUUUGGAUCAUGCUACAGAAAACUCUGUACAGUGCAAUAAGUUUGUAAUUGUUAGAGACAUAAUAUAAAAUCCUUCAUGUGUCUUUCACCAAACAACAUAAACCUCAGGGAUAACUGGCUUAUAGUUCUGGCCUCAGCUACAGUAUUUUCAAGCCAUCAACAGCAAAAAAUUCAAGGUUCAUAGUAUGUUAUAUUGUAAGUUCCUGUCACCCUCACUAAUACUGAUGUCUAACAGCAGACAACUUUGGUUUAAGUAAUCAAACACUGCUAGCACCAUGUCAUUUUUCAUUGUUGCCCCAUCAAUCCAUUAGAGAUUACACAAACACAUUGAAGGUCAAACUGUUCCCUCCCAUAAUUUCACUGAACAAUUGCAAAUAAGAUUCUCUUCAAGGACUUCAAUAAGCAAAUGCUCAGUACUCAACAGAGUGUUCCCUUGCAAAUUGUUUGGAUUGAGAGAUGUACAAAAGAGAAGAAAAAUAAAAGUGUGUGUUGUAAAGGCAUAUUUGUCCUGAUAAUAUUUUUACAUAAUCCAAAACAAAAAAGCAAAUAUGUCAUUUUAAUUUUUUUUGCUGGGUCCCACAAGCUUUUUCCUCUUUUCUCCCACAAAAUCUCAGAAGUUUUUUUUUUUUGGUGUGUAGGUUCCAUCAAACACUUCUUUUCUCACUUCUCUCCUUUCCCAAACAAUAUAGAACUUCAUUCUGUCUCACUUCUUUCUCACCCACGUCUUUCUCUCUGAAAUCAUGCUAAACAGACAGCUAACGAAAUGCCAAUAUGGCCACAUCAGGUCAGAAAAAUGACAAAAGUUCAAAUACUAAGUGUGUUUUGAUCAGCUUAAUUAAUUCCCUAAUUGUUUUUUUUCCUAGCAGCUUCUUAAGAAAGCUUUAAAAAAUGAUUAUUUUUCUGAAAAAUCAUUUCUAAAGAUGCGCUAAAUCUACAUCAAUUGUGAUAUACAAGAAAUCAACUUGGAAUCCUGCUUUAGAUGUUGGUAUACCUCACCUGUAUUCCUCCAACAAGCAUCUCUAAUGAAGGAUUCAUAAUGAGAUUCUCAAUUGUGAUUCCAUGAGCAGUGGCAACAAGCUGAAUCCCACGUUGUGCAAUUGUGCUCGCAGCCAUUGCUUCAAGUUUUGUACCAAUUUCAUCAAUUACAAUCACUUGUGGCAUGUGGUUUUCAACUGCUUCUAUCAAUACCUGAAUAAUUUUGUACGACAAACAUAGAAAUGUGGUCAGAGUAUGACUAUGAAACAUGCCUUUCAUAAUCAAAAAGAACUCCAUUUUGGGAUGCAUUAAUGGAAAUAGGAAAGAAAGGUAAAAUGCAAGGAAUGGAAUGAACAGGACUCCACAAAAAAUUAUCACUUUAAUAAAUCAUUCUGCUGUUUGGCUGCUUCCCACAAACAGCACACAUUCUAUCUAUAAUCUAUAUUACUGGUAUGAAAAGCUUAGUGCAUGUGCAUCUUUGUAAUAGGUGGGAAAUUAUUUGAGUAGAAUGUAAAUUGGAAUAAUUACUUUUGAAAGAAUGAAUUUAUGCUUGUGAACGUUCCAUCUAAAGGUAAUUUCUUUCAUUGGUGUAAAGAUAUAAAAAUUUCCGAAGUUGAGAACUAAUUCUGACAAUUAAGUUUUUAUACUAAACUUUAACGUCCUACUAGUCCUCAGGCAAAUAUAAACCUCAAUGUUUAAAUUAGAAUAUGCACAAAUGGAAGUAUCAUAAUUAUAUCCGAGAACCCUAACCUACCAAAUAAAAUAUUUCAGCUGAUUUCUCAAAUAAAUCAUAUAUCAUGUUUAUUUUAAUGACCAAGAAUUCUCGUGGAGUCAUUCCACUAUAUAUUGAAGAAAAUGUAAUGAAAAAGGACAGAAUAAGCUCCAAUUGUUCACAGAAAUAUUCUCAGUCACCACUGAUAAUAUAGCUAUACUUUCAACAUAUAGAAACAAGAGGUGAUUGGUAAAAAAAAAGAGGUUAAGCUCCUGCAAUUGCAGCUAAUACCUUAUGUUGCAUAUCAGAGUUAGGGACUUGCAUACGUCGAGCAUUGCCUAUUCCAGCAUGUGGUAUAUCGCCAUCACCCCCAAUUUCAUUGGAGGUGUCAACAAUCAUCACACGCUUCUUGUAAUCAUUUGCCAGCAUCCUAGCUAUUUCCCUGAAAAUAUAGAAAGUGUAUUAUAGAUUAUAAUAAUAAUAAUAAUAACAGCAACAACAACAACAAUAACAACCACAAAAACAAAAACAAUAAUAGAAGUGGUACUGAUAAUAAUAAUACAUCCAGACAGUUCCCUAUUUUUAUGAUGUUAGCAAGUACAAAAAUUUAAGCAUUGCCAAAAAACAGCAAAGCAUCAAAAAUUAAUGUUUGUUGAAGACCCAAAAAUAUCAUGGCCCCUAAGGAAUGGAGAACUGCAGAAAUCAGGGACUCAAUUCUGAAUAAAAAAGUUGACUGGACAAAAUUGGAAGCAGGGUGAGAGAGAAAUUUUACAUCCAAAUUAGAGAUCAAAAGCAAGCAUCAUAUUCUCUAAGUAAAUGUGUGCUUUCCAAAAACAUAGUUUGCUAAUGAGAAAAAGAUAGAACCCAGUCCGACAUGUAUACAACAAUCAAGAACAGGAAGAAGCAUAGUACAUGUACAGUUUAGUGAAUUCAGGUAAUUAUUGCAUGUAUAUCUAGCUCAACUUUUAGCAUCAGACAAAAGAAUCACUAACCUAAUAAUUGUAGUUUUGCCUACCCCUGGAGGUCCAAUGAGCAACAAAGAAGCCCCAUCUUGAAUCAAAUCUUGCAACAACUUUGCACUUCCUGAAAUUGCCCUGCCAACUCGACAAGUUAGACCAAUAAUUGUGCCCUUGCGAUUUCGGAUGGCACUAAUCCGAUGCAAUGUCCUGCUGAUUCCUGCUCGGUUAUCAAUAGCAAAGUCACCAACCUGCAAGAGGUUGUCUCUCAUGAAUUAACAGUUAUAAAUAUCUUUCCAUGAUCAAUCAAAACUUAGGAUCAUACAGAGAUGGUACUAGUCCAAUUCAAACAUUCAUCUCUUUCACUUUCUACAUCCAUGCUUCUAAGCAGCAAUAGAUUAUUACAUUUUUUGGAUACAUUGGCAGUUGUAGCCACAACUUAAACUUAGGGAAUUCAAUCAAAUUCACACAGCCCCAACUACUCUCUAGGGGUACACAAGAGGAUUAUAAAUAAAGCCUAAGAUAACCUAAUUGUAGAGAUACUCUUGCCCAAGCAUGAGCACAUGUCCGUGAACAUUCUGUUCCUCUUCUUUUCCUGAUUUCCUGAAGAACAUGACAGUGUCACUGUCUCAUGCUGACCAAAUUGCAGUUGUAAUCAAAGAUGUAGUGACAAAAUGCUGUCAUUUUACCAUGGAACAAUUUUAACUUUACACCAAAUAUAAUUGUAAUUCUUUAUUACAUCUUUUAUUUAUAAUGUUGUAUAAAUUUUUAUUCAUUCUUAAGUUUAAAAUUCACAUGGGGGUACAAAAAUGAUUUAUUUCGAAAGAAAGAUUGAAUGGAAUGGAUGGGAAAUAGUGUUGGGGUGUGAUGGAGCUCGCGGCUCAUUGCAGUUUGAAGGGUAUGAAGCAAUGCUUGCCGCAGUUCGUUGCGGUUGCAAUGCUAUUGAGUUGCAGCUGCUACGCGUGAACAGAAAUCACUCUAAUUUUGACGUGGUGCAUUCGCAGGUACUACCACAACUGCAAUAUUGCAGCCACAUCACAUGGUGCAUUCCACAAUUUGAAACAAUGGAACUUCUGAUAGAGAAAUAUAUAUUUUUCUAUGAAGGGAUCCAGUAUUACUUACACAGGCUUAGUUUAUGGCACAAUUUGAAUAAACUUUUAACUAAUUACUUGUAGGAGAAGAAAAUGAAAAGAAUUAAGGAGGUAAACCAAAUCAAAUUUCUCACAUACAUUAAAAUCAACUUACGGAAAAGUUAGAUAAGAGAGCAGAUGAAAAAGUUGAGAUGCAUAAGUUUUUUUUUAAUAAGUGUUUAUUGUUUAUUGAGAAAUUUAUCUAAACUGACUCUAUAUCUUUCUCUCUCAAACCAUACUGGUAACCUUUUCAAGGAAAAUCAGAGCAUCUAAAUCCACAUAAUAGCAUCUAUGGUUUCGAUCGGUUACUGUCUGACACACAAAUCAUCCAAACUAAGCCAAUUAAAUAUCCUAUGUUCAAAACCAAUAAGUUUGCCUUUGACCGGAUCCAAUUUAUUUUUGAGCAAGCACUUCUUAUCUUAAAAAAGGGGAAAAUGUGUUUUCAGUCCCUAUACUUUCAUAUUGAUGAAUUUGGUCCUCAAACUUUAAAAAACUUGUGGAUUUAGUCCCUAAUAAUUUGGAUUUUGUUAUAUUCGUAAGUAAUCAAUUAGGGACUAAAUCCACAUAUUUUAUAAAUAGACAUAAACAACAAAAACUAAACAGAACCUAUCAGUUCUUAUAAUAAAGAAAAAGCAAACAAACAAGACUUUUCAAUUUCCUUUCCUCCAAAUAAAAUGUGUUUUGUAAUUUGCCCCAUUUACGAACUUUCUUUCCAAAAGAGAUUACAAAAUCAAUAAACAGAAGCAAAUCAAACAGUAACAUCAUUCCAAUACUGAAUAAACCAUCAAUUUGAUCCCUCAAGUAUUUACCUUCUCUUUUGUAGUCCUUGAAAUGAUGAAAUGAUAUAAGUAGUGUUUAAAGUAUUGAAUAUUCAUAAGUUUAAUCCCAAAGUUGAUAUCGUGUAUGUUUGGAUUGCUGGUGGAUUGAUACCAUGAUUUUUGGAUACAACAAUAUAAAAAAUCAUGAUGAGUUCGCCACUGAAGCAACUAUUUGUUGUUUCCAAAAAUCAUAGUGAGUUCAAGUCACCCAUCACCACCUAUUGACUAAUGUUCAAAGACUAAUUUGAAAGAUUUUCCAAUACUUGGAAGACUACUUAGCAUGAUUUAUCAUCCUUAAGGAUUUAACUAUGCAAGUGCUAAGAACACAAUCUCUAACACACUCCUUCAAACACAAUGUUUUCUAAUCGGUUAAAAUUUAUUGAAAACUACCAAAUCAGGAAAGACAAUCAUUCAAUAGAGUGUUCCUAGCAUUUCAGAUAAGAAAAAAAUACUUUAGGGACUAUUUUGAGAGAGAGAAUAAACUUUAAAGAUGAAAUUUGUAGAUUAUCCUUCCAAUUACCUGGGCAGUGGCGUGCUCGAUAUCCUGAACCGUGAUAGGAUACUCCGAUAUCACGAAAUCCCCGGUCGGAAACCUUGCGAGAGGUUUCCGUCCCAAAUCCAUGACAACCUCUAUCAGCUGCGGCAGCUCGGGGUGGUCGCUCACGCGCCGCCGCAUCUCCUCCGGCAGCAGCGCCAACAGCCGCCCCAGCUCCACGUCCAGCUCAUCCUCGGAAAAAACCGGACCGGACCCGGCUGGAAAACUCGCGCGCAGGCUGGGGCCGGUUCGGAGCCGGGGAAGGGAGGGAACGAGGGGCGGGUAGAAGGGUUUGGGCGAAAUCGGGUUGGGAAGUGGCGGUUGUUGCGGGAGGUGGCAGCAGCGAAGCUGGAGCGGGAGAGUGAACCCUAGCAUCGAUUUUGGCGGGAACCGUGAAGUUGGUGUGUAGUGUUGUGGCGGUUUUGGGAGGGAAAGUGUUUUCUAAAUUACCGUUUUUGCGCGAGUAGGAGGAAGCGGAAUGGAAUCAGGAAUGGGGUAGCAGAUGUGGAGGAAUUCGAAUAUUCGAUUGGAACCGGAAUAUGAAGGGAACCUGGUUACGUGUUUCGCUUUUGCUUUGUUUUUUUUUUUUUUUUUUGGUCUGAAAGCACUGGUCAAGGGAAAAUGGACGAUUUUUUUUCUCGCAAUACAAACAAAAGAAAAAGGUUAUUCACUUCGAUCACAAUACAUUAUUUAUUAUUUAUAAUAAAUUAGUUGACCUUUUAUAAUAAUUACUCUAAAAUUAUAAUAAGUAUUUUAUACUAUUGUAAAUGAAUAAUCAUUAAGCUCGUAAAAAUAAUAAUUGAUAGUGUAUAAUUUUGAUUUUUUUAAUUAAUAAAUUUUGUAUAGUAUUAUUUAACGAUAAUUUAGUUUGUAUGGUUUACAUUUGUUAUAGUUAUAACUAGGACAUGCAAUUGAAAAAUGAAAAAUACAUCUCUAUUAUAUGCAAACUCAACAUGAGAUAAAUAUUCUUCUCAAGUCUUUAUAUAUAUAUUUUUUAAUCACUACUCUAAGAAGAGAAGAUAUAGUUCUAUCCAUUACCUCAAUUUGUCCAUCGGUUUAGAAAUGACAUGUAGUGGAGAAAAGAAGUUUUGUACCCAGCUUAUCCCAUAAGAUUCUCCAAAAGUGACUUAGGAAUUUUGUGUCACGAUCAGAAACAAUGUUUCUUUGUAGUCUAUGGAAACACACCACUUCCUUAAAGAAUAAGUCAAUAACAUGACAAGCAUCAUGAACUUUCUUACAUGGUAUGAAAUGUUUCAUCUUAGAGAACUUGUCCACUACCACAAAGAUGGAAUCCUUGUCAUUCCUUGUCUAAGGCAACCCUAAAACAAACUCCAAAGACAAGUCAAUCCAAGGAAAGUCAGGAAUGGGCAAAGGAAAAUAAAGUCUGUGAGGCAUUACCUUAGAUUUAGACUUCUUACCAGCAAUGCAUCGUUUACAAAACCUAUGUACAUCAUGUUUCAUGUGUGACCAAUAGAAAUGUUCUUGCAACAUAUCUAGAUUAUUUUGUAUCCCAAAAUGUCCCAUUUAACCCCCUUCAUGUGCCUCUUUCACAAGCAAUUCUCUUAUGGAUCCUUUAGGCACACAUAACCUUUUUUCUUUGAACAAAUAAUCACUAUGCCUAAAUUAUCUAUUUUGAGCAAUAUGCACACAUGUAGAAUAUUUAGAAGAGAAAUUUGGAUCAUGUUCAUACAAUUCACUAAUAUGCUCAAAGCCAAUGAACUUAGUUUCAAGAGUACAGAUCAAAUCAUGCCUUCUUGAGAGUGCACCUACUACCACAAUGAACUUACCUUUCGAGUGCUUGAUCACAUAUGGGACUUGCUCAAGAAACUCAACCCAUUUGGCAUGUCUCUUAUUCAGCAUGCCUUGUCCCUUUAGAUGCAUCAAGGACUCAUGAUCACUAUGAAUGACAAACUCUUUUGGCAAAACCUCCAGUAUCAUAUGACCACAACCUCAUCGCCACUACACUGGUAAAGAAUUCACUACUGCACAAAAUAUAUUUUAUGUCAAUGUCACUACCUAGAUUUAAAAAAAAUGAUGUAGUAAAUGGCACAAUGACAUUUUUGCAAUUGAAUGCAACUUCAUAAUAUUAGUUGUUUAUAAACUAAUGUAGAGAAGAUCAUUCAAUGUUGUUGCUUAUAAUGAUGCCUUAUCCCAAUUUGGCAUAGGAAACAGGGUGAACAAGAUCAUGAAAGAUCAAGCCAACAAGAAAAAGACAAGGAGCCAAGCCCAAAAAAGAAGAAGAGGGGGAGGAGUUUCUUAGAAAAGAACAAAGAACCAAGAAAAAGCAUAAUUCUACUCCUGUGUCCAUUCCUCCAAGUAUGAGUCCAAAAACUACUCCCACAAAGAGAAGUCCAAAGAAGUCAGUUGAGAGGAAGACCACUAAUCAAAAGCUAAGGGACUUGAGUGAAACUAAUGAAGGUGAUGUUCCCCUCAUCCAUAUGAAGAGGAAAGUUGAAGCUUAACAACAAGUUCUUGCUACUCAAAAAAAGUGGAAGGUGAUAAAGGGGGAUCCCUCCACAAAAGAACUUUUUAUUGCUUCCAUAGUGCCAAGGAAAGUAAAGACAAGGGCAACUAGGAUCGACACUACUAUUCUUGAAAAAGAUUGGAAGCAACCAUCUCUUUCUCAGGAAACUGUAAGUGUUGAUAUCUUAGAUGCUCACAUCUCUCCUCAGAGGUCAUCCACCUGCACCACCUCAGUAGUGUCCAACUCCGUUUCCCAAAAAUGUAACAUUAUGUUUUUUGUAAUGCUUGAUUAAGUGGUUUUAAUUAGAUUGCAAGAUUAAUUAAUUUAAUUUAAGCGUAUGUAAUUAAUUAAUUAAUUAUGAGAUGAUGGUGUGUAGUACUUGUAUGUAUGUUAUGUUUACAUAUGUGAAAAAACUUUUUUAGGUUUGAAUAGUAAGUUCUAGAGUGUUUAGGCUGAGAGGGAUAGGUCUUGAGUGAUAGGAAUGGGGUGAGUGAGUUUAGGAAGUGAUGGGGUGUGCAUAAAGAAAAGGAGAGGAGUCAUACACUUAGCUUUUAGUGGAUUCAAAAUUGAACCAAAGACACAAUACUCUCUUCUUCCUCUCCAAGAAAAAUCCUCCAUUGGAGAGCUUGAGACCUUGAAUUCCUUUGCUCCAAGGACCUUGUGGCAGUGUUUUAGUCAAGUUUGAGGACUAGUUCAGUGGUAAGGAACACUUUUUUUCCCCUCUCAUCUUCCAUUUUCAUUUUCCCUCCAUGAGCAUUAUUGGAAGUUCAUAAAGUGUUCAUUUUUAUGGUUUUGAUGUGGUUUCUUUUGGUUUUUGGGUUUAGGUGGUAUGGAUGGUGGAGUUGUUGUAUGAGUGGGAGAAAGCUUCCAUCUUGGGCCUAAAGUCUCCUCCUUUCUUCCUUUCUUCUUCUCAAAGUUAGAUCCUUGGUUUGUAGAAGUAAGGGAAGCUUUACUUUGAUUGAAUGCUAUGUAUGAGUGAUUGAUGCUUAAAAUGUUUUUGGGUGUGGAAUAAGUUGUGUGUAUGAUAUAUGAUGUCUAAUUUGAAUUGAGUUUGAUUUAUAAACCAUUUAAGGUCCUACUCAAGAAAUUUGAAGUUCUACAGACAUUUACACUUAAGCCAAGAGUGAUUUUUGCUUAAGCGAAAAGUCUGUCAAGGAAAUGUGCUUGUUGGAUUUCAGGCUUAAGUGUAGGUGAAUCUAGGCUUAAGCGUGACCAAGCUUAAGCGUAUAUGAUUUUAGGCUUAAGCAUGACCAAGCUUAAGCGUAGAUGAAUUUAGGCUUAAGUGUAGUUAUCGGUCAAUUUUUCUUUGGUGAAUCUCAAUUGAAAUUCAAUCUUAAAUGCUUCAUGAGGUGUAUGUGAACCUUAAAUGGAAUGAAUAGAGUUGAUAUAUAUAUUGUUAUUCUCAUGUAAUUCACAUUCAUAUGUUGAGAUUGGUGUUUGAUUUAUGAGAACUUAUGGUGUGAAAUGUCUCAUGAUGUUUAGAUGAACUAUGUGAGAGUCCAUGAUUGAUGAGAAUGAUAUGAAUGGUAAAAUGAUGAUGAAUUGAACAAGAUGUGAAUAACUUUAUUUUUUAAUCAACAAAUAAAAGUUCUAUUAAUUUGUAAUGGGCACAAAGGGUACCCAACCUAUUUACAAGAGAUGAUCCAUAAGACUAGCAGCCACGUUAACCAAUCCAAGGUUAUAGGAUAUUAAUAUAGAGAUAUAAAUAUUCCAUAACCCCAAGUUGACUCAUCAUCUAAUAUCUCCCAAGUUCACAAAAUUAACUCACCUCCUUAUCAUAAUUGUCCCUUGCCUUAAUACCAUAGACAUACUACCCACCCAUGUCUACAAUAACUCCACCAACCUCCCAAGUCCCCUCUACCCGACAAUACCAACUAAAAAUCUGCAAGAAUACAAAUUUCAAAAAGCAGUAGCAUCAAGCCAAAUUUAAUGCAUUUCCCCCUUGCAUGCCUACAAUAAAUUAUAACAAUGAUAUACCACUAAUUCAACGAAAUGUUGGACAAGUGGCCUCAAUAACUUAAGACAGGGGGUGAAUUAAGUCUUACAAUUCCCACUAACAAACUUUUAACCCCCUUCUAAAUGAUAGGCUCAGAAUGCAGAAGAAGAAGCAACAAUCAAUUUAAUAAUGUUCUUUAAACAUGCAAGACAAAAUUGAUUGCAAUAACAUAAAUGAGAUAAGGGAAGAGAGAAAUGCAAACUCGAUUUAUAUUGGUUCGGCCACUUCCCGUGCCUACGUCCAGUCCUCAAGCAACCCACUUGAGAUUUUCCACUAUCUUUGUAAAAAUCUUUUAUUAUCACGCUAAGCGUGAGGGUGGCGCUAAGCGCAGUGUCACGAAUUCAGAUCCUAUUUAAAGCCUGUCUUGUGUAGAAUUAGGGUACCACUUUUUAUGACACUUUUAUGGCAGCUUCUACAGAUGGCCAGGGCACAGAAUUCCAGAGCAGCCACAGGCCUAUUUGGGGAAAAGAGCCCUAGAACCAGAAAAGAGGAGUAGCUUGUGCAUUGAAGCCUAGGUUUUGUCAUUUGAGAGAUUAUUGAGUAGAGAGUGAGUGUGAGAUGCUGAGAAGAGGAGGAGGAAUCCCCUUUCUUGUGUAAGGAACUAUCAUUCUCUGCUUUUAAUCUCAUUUAUUGUUAAGGUUUCUUUGUAAUGGCUGGCUAAACACCCGAGUUGGGGAUUUCUAAUGAACAGCUGAUGUAAAUACCUAAUAUCUAAUUGAUUAUGUUUUAUGUGAUCAAUGCUUCCUUCAAUGCUUAAUGUUUGUAUGCUUUUGGUUUGAUCACCCAUUUGUGUGCACAAUUAGGUGACUUUAGCAUUGGAAAAUGUAUUGUUGCCUUAGAACUUGAUUGAAGCAGGAUUGAAACUUAGCCUUACAUGAGGGAUCUGUAGGUUAAGUUUUGGUUUUAAUUAUGUUGUUACAAUAAUGUUGUUUAGUUUAGGCCUAGUCUUACAUGAGGGAUCUGCGGAUGAAGCUUAGGCUAAACUUUAGUAAGCUACUUGAGCUGAGUCUAGUCUUACAUGAGGGAUCUGUGAACGAAACUCAGUUUAAGUUAGUCUAAACCUAAGAGGGCUGUCUAAAUUGGGUGUAGUCUUAAAUGAGGGAUCUACGGACGAAGCCUGGAUAUUCAGCCUGACGAGGGAUCGAGGGUUUAGUAAUUUAGGCUACAACAUAGAACACAAGAGCAUGAUUGAUUAGAGAAAUAUAUUUAUAUGCAUCGGCUUGUUUGUUAGAAAGACCCAACAUAUCUACCUAUUGUUGUCAUUUUAUAGUGUUUAGCAUACAAGUUUAGUUUAAAUUCUAUUUGAAAUUAUCGCUUAUACAUGUUCUCUCAACAAUGCUUCGAUUCUGAACUUAAUUCAGGCUAACAUUAGCUCCCUGUGUUCGAUACUCGGAUUCAUCCAUUUUAAUUUUAAAUACUUGACGACCCGGUGCGCUUUCCGGUAAACCCCCAUUGAAAUUUCCUCGAGACAUAAAUGCACAAAAAGUAACUGCAAUGGGGGGUGAUCAAGUUGUUUACGUGCGGGGAAGGUAUUAGCACCCCACACGUCUAUCACAAGGGAUGGAAGCCUUUAAUCAAGUGUGCAAAUUCAUGACUUCAAUAUUUAUUUAUUUUUCCCUUUUUUUGUGUUUUUCUAUCUUUUGGGGUUGACAAGAGCGUGGCUCUUGCUCCUACGUAUCCUCAAGUGCGACGAGGAACUCAGACCUACGUAGUUCUUAAAAGCAAGAAAGUUACGCGUAGGGUUGAUUUUAAACUUUUGAAAGGUUCAUUUUAACCGAUAAAAGUAAAAGAGACCGUUAAGGCGUUGGACCUUGAACGGAUUCAAACAAUUUUUGUGGAUGAAAGCUUGUUUUUUUGUGUUGAUUUUAACUUUGGUUUUCACUUAUUUACUUUGAAACUCAUUAAAAGAUGACUUGCAAAGUAAACGAACGGUUUGAACUUUAUUUUACAUUGAUAAACCGAGGUUACGACACAAACGAUCGGUUGAAACUUUAUUUUACAUUGAUUAAGUGAGAUUAUGGCACAAGUGAUUGGUUGAAACUCGCUUCAUACAAAGAAAUGAGAUCGCUGAUGGUCGAAGAAUGAAGAUGAAGGUGCGAAAAGCAAGAGGGGACCCCUAAGGGUGCAUAGAAUGAAUUCAAAGCUCCAAAAUAAAAACUAUUCGGUCGAUGAACAAAGAACGGAUGAAGAACGAACGAAGAACGGAUGAAGAACGAUGUAGGAAUCGAUCACGGAAGCGAUUCGGAAGCGCCUCGGCCUCGUUUUUUCUUCUUCUUUCUCCUUCUUCUCACUAAUUCAACUAAAAUGCUCUUAAUGUAAGAAGCUGAACCCUUUACCUUAGCCCCCUCACACCUAUUUAUAGGAAAUGAGGGGUGGAGGUUGCACAGCAGCUCGCCCAAGCGAGCUGGUUGCUUCCUCCAGAAGUAACCUUGCUUGCCCAAGCAAGCUGGUUACUUCAACCCUAAGCUUUAUGGUGGCCCAGGUGAGCCAAAUGCUAGCCUGGGCGAGCCAAGGGCCUGAAAAAGUCAUCAAAUGACCAUUUUGCCCUCCCUUUUGGGUAUUUUUCGUAUUCUUUUCCGAAACGUCAAAAAAUCUUACGGAUUGCAUGAUAACUGAUGUUAAGCAGCUCAAUUCGGUUGGCAAGAAUCAAAACUUUAGCAAAUUAUCGUCCCUGGACGAAAUUAGGGUCUAACACUUUAUAUAAGAAAAAAAACUAAUUCAUCAAAACCAAUAAAAAUAUGUAAGUUAAUUAAUUUUAUUAAUAAUAUCAUAAAUUUAAAUCUUAUUCCAAAAAUAGUCAUUGAAAGUAGUGAUAAUAUUUAAUGACACUACACAUGAUUCAAGAGAUGAUACUUUUCCCACCAAUGAAUGGGUUUGUAUGAUUAAUAGGUUAAUAAAUGCAUCCACUUGCAUGAAGAAUGGAGAAUGAGCAAACAUCUUUCACAAUAAAUUAAGGUAUAAAAGAAAAUUAACAAGUAAUACAUCUUAAAGUGGAUCCAUGUUUCGUAUAAAUAGGAUCAAAAUAAUAUACUCAUGUGUUUUUUUUUAUUGUUUACAAUGUUAGAAUGUUGUAACUACUAUUAAAACCUUUUAUUAGUGUAUGCUGUUGUUUUAUUUUAUUGUUUAAACUAAUAUUCAAAUCUUUUAUAUAUUAUUGGAUUCAAAUUUAUUGGUUUUGCUAGCCAACUUAAGAAAACAUCCCUAAUUAAAAAGUAUAAUUACAAUUAACUCUUUUAAAAAUAAUGUUACAUUAAAAAGUUACAUAUUUUUUCAUAAAACUACACAUGUCAUUUUUUUUAUUUGUGUAUCAUACACAUUCUAUCCAUAAAAUUAAUAAAAUAAGAGAAUUAAAAGGGACAUAUAAGAUUUAUCUUCAAUAAAAAGGUGUAUGUGAAUGCCAUUUUUCUAAGCUAAAUUAUUGUUUUGGUCCUCUAAUUUUUAAAAUCAAUUCAAUUAAGUUCUUUUAUCCAAAUUGAUAUUAACAUCGUUAAUGUAAUGCAUAUGUGUCACUUUCACACUUAGUGGCAGUUCAAAAACCAUUAGUAAGUGUUUUUUGUUUUACUAGAUGUCACAAUCAUUUUCGCAAAAUCCCCAUUGAAGUCCCAUGGGUCUCAUCCAUCUUCGUCUCCCCGUAUUUGAAUCAAGCCCAUACCUACAUCUACAUAAGAAAAAAUAAGAUGAAAAUCAACCAGAUCUAAAUGAAAAUUGGGAAUGGAUAGCAAUUGAGAUUCUAGAUCUUGAAAGUAGUAGAAAAUAAAAUUGACAUUGUGGAAGAUUCCAGAGUGACACAGAGGUCAUGUCACUUUCGUGGUUGUCGUCGGAGACGAUAAAGUUCUUCAUGAUAGUUACAUAGAAGUGUUCCCAACACUUGCAAUGGAAAAAUUAGGAUCUAUUUUGCAUUCAAAAUAUACAAUAAUAAUAAAUAGAGAAAAAUAGACUUGUGUAUCUAGAUGCGCGUUCUUGAAGCAACAAAUUUUUUCUUCAAUGGUGUGAAGACUCUACGUGUAUCCAUACCGAGACUAAUAUUUGCUAUCAAUUUUUUGAUAAGUGGAACUCUAAAGAACAAAUUUUCUUUCUACUUUUCAUGUCUAAAACUAUACUUAAACUUCUCUAGUUUGUGUAUGUUGCACCUUGCCUCCGAUAAAUACUUCUAUUUAUGAUGUUAAAGAGACGUGGAUUUGGACCCUUUUCAGGAAAAAAGGAAAGAUUUAAAAUAAUUUAAUAUCUCUUUAUCUUUAUAAAAAUAAAAAUUAUCUCAUAUCUUUUAUUUUAAUAAGUUUCUUGAUAUAAGACAAAGAUAAUUCACAGAAAAUAAUAUCAUAAUUAAUCACAUUCCUAGUAUGUAGCAAUGAAAUAUUAUCCUUAUUUAAUGGACAACUUUCACACUUAUAAAAUAAUACCCCUUUUUAUAUUAAUUAUAUUCUUGGUACUAGUUAAAAAUAUAAUAAUAUUUUACUAAAAUAUUUAUUUGAUUAAAUUAAAUUCUCUAAUUUAAUUAUCAAAUAAAUUAUUUUCUUUUGCAAAGACUGAACACUCGUUUGUGUGUGACCCAAUAUGUUUAAUAUUAAACUAGUAGUAAACUAAUCAUAAUUAAUUUACUAAUUAAGGUAGAUAGAUGGUAUGAAGUAAUAUCUUUUACCUCCAAGAAUCAAUAGAAGAGUAAUGUAAUAUUUCCUUCCAUUGUUUAUAGUUAAGGUUAACUCUAGAGUAUAACAUUAUUGUCAAACUAUAAUGAAAUAACACAUUUAAUCAAUGAAUGACUUAAAAAGUCUUUUCUUCUCUCAUUCAAUUGCUCUCGCCAAGGUCUUAAUUCUAUCAUAAAGCUCAAACUCAUUACCUAGAGUUGAUGAAUUUUUUUCUUGAUUAAUCAUUAAUUCUAUACGUAAGGAUUUUAGGAACAUAUUUUUUUCAUGAAAUUAAUGAUUGUUUUUAAAAUAAAAAUUUAUGAAAAAUUACAAUCAUAUACUCCUUCCGUUUUAAAUAUAAAAGAAAUCACCUAAUUAAAAAAAUUAGUUAAUAUUAUUUAAUUAUACUAAUCUCAUUUAAAAUAUAAUUUUUUUCAUCCACUACCUUUUUAAUUUAGAAUUUGACUUAAAAAAUUAAACAAAGCCAUUGAAAAUAAAACUUCAAUUAAAUGAAAAAUAUCUUGAAAAAAUUAUCUUAUUAACUAAAAUAAAAUUAGUCAACAUUUGAUUAUUUGAGACCACUACAUAAGGAUUUGAGACUACAAAAUGUAUUAGGUAAAUUCACAUAUUCAAAAUUUUAAUUAAAAUAGUAUCAACUUUUUUAAUGAAACAGAUAUUGUGAAGUGAAAAAUUCAAUAUUUAACAAAUUGUUAAAAAUUUUAAAUUUUUUAUAUUAUUGUUUUUGAAUUAUUAGACUUCAUCUAGAUACUUCUUCCAUUUAUACUUUUUUCGAACUCAAAUAUUAUACAAGUGAAAAAAAACUCGUAUGGUAGUCUAAAAUAUAAAAGCAGAAUGUAGUUAUUUUUGCUCUAUUUAAUGAAAUCAUCUCAAAAUACUCCUUAUUUAAUUCAAUCUUUAUUUUUAAAGAUCAUUUUAGUAAAUUAAAGCCUUCCAUCAAUAAGCACCGUGAAAGAUAGUUUAGGAAAUAAAGUUUAUUUUUUAAAAUAUGAUUGAGAAAAAUAAAUAAAGUUAACCAACAUUCUUAAUUAACUUCAAUUAAUUUUUUUCCUUAUAUUUAAAUCUAGAAAAAGAUGUUUAAGAUUAAUGCAGACAUGUCAAAGAAAAUUUAAAUUGUGUUUGAGAAUUCACUUUAGGAGCUUAUAAUCUAGUUUGAAUAGCUUAUAGCCUUAUAAGCUAAUUUGGCCAAAGAUUAAAAUACUCUUAUUUAAUUAAUAUGUCAUUACUCAUCAUAAAUUACUACAAUAGCAAUUAUUAAAUAGAGAUAUAGGUGAAAAAUAAUUUAUAAUAUUUUAGAUUCGUAAAACAUCAAUAUUUUUUUUAAUUAAUAUAAAAAAGGGGGGAAAAACUAAAGUAUCUAUAGUAUGUAACAUCCAAGAUGAAAAAAAUAAAGUGCAGUGAGUUCCUGAGGUAUGAAAUUAUGUCCUCGUACUAUCUUUGUGUAAGGUUAUCUGUCUCCAUAUAUUUGAAUCAAUUUGGUGUAAUGUAUGAUUGCAAGAAGUAUUUUUAGUCGGAUAUCGAGACUAAUCUCCUUUUAGAGGUCUAAAAACAUUCAAAAUUAGUGUGUUUCCUCUUAACCAAAAUUUCUUCAUGUACAAAAAUUAGGAUUCAAACCCUUAACUAAUUACUGGUAGGAUUAGAGUCCGUUAAUACUCGAACCCAAACUCAUAAGUUGAUUCAAUUGAUUAAUUUACAUUGUUUAGAACCACAUGAAACAAAUAAAAAAUGAAAUUUAAUUGUACUUUUCGUAUCCUAAUAUAAGUGUGGAUAAUUUUUGUCUCCAUAAUUUUAAUUGUUUGGUUUUGGUUUCCUUAGAUUCAAAAUGGGCAGUUUUAGUUUAACCAUUAAGAUUGUGUCAUCCAAUAGUUGAUGGAGUUGAUAAGGUAGAUUGUUUUUUCUUUGUGGGUUGUCCUAGAUGGACUCACAUGUCCUAACUUUAAUUGUUGUCGUUGAUAAGGAUAAGUUGAAAAUUAAAAACAAAUAAAAAAUUGAAAGACAAAUCAUUGUGACAAAUAGACUUACACGAAUUGAUCCUUAGUGUAGGUUAUGAUUAGGAUGUGCAAAAACUACGAACUAAACUGAUUUUGAAAUGUUUUAACACAUUUGGUUUUACAUCAAAAUAGUCAAAUUAAUUUAGAAAUUGAUUUAAAAUCAAUCUAAUUUUAAAAAAUUAGCUCUGAACUAAAUUAGUUUUUAAUUGACUUUAAAAGUCAAAUCACUUUUGAACUGAUUUUAGAACUAGUUUUUGAAUUAUUUUUUAAAAAUAAAAAUAUUUAAAUAAAAAUCAAUUUGACUAACUGAACUGGUUUUAUUGAAAUAAUUUAGUUAACUAAAUUGAUUUUAUAAAAUAUUACAUUUUUUUUAUAAAAAAAUAAUUUGAUUUAGGUUCAAUUACAAUUCAGUUCAAUCCGAACCGAUUUUUUUACAUACCCCUUACUUUUCCCAUCUUGGACAUUUUUUUUUCCUCCUAUGCUUGUUUAACCGUUAAGUCCCAAAGUAAAACGCACUCUCUCUUUUAGAACGUUGUUGAUGGAUCUGAAGGCUCUUAUAUCUUCCACUUGGGUUUGACUCUUAAUACACCCAUUUGUGGAUGUUAGGAAGAAGAAGAAAAAUAUAUACAAUAGCAAAUAUGAGUUCAAACCCCACUCUUAGCAAACACUUUUGUGGUUGCAAAACUAGGUCCCUUAGUAGUUUUUUUUUUUAAUUCAUGUUGUCCCAAACGUGGACUAUGGCAAUAAACAUGGACUGUGAUCCAAAAAUGUAAGUUUUUUUUUGGUUGUGAUGUGCGUGUGUUUGUUGUUUUAAUUUUUUCAAAUCCCACUUUAUCCAUUCAAAACUCAAUUUUGGAGAUGUCGAUCCCCUUAGGAUGAAACCAAAAUUCAACAAUUAAAAAUUAUUAGAAUCAAAAUUGUCACGUUAUAUGUAAAAAAAUAAAAACAUUAUAGAUAUAUUAAAGAAAUUAAAAGUGUAAUUAAUAAUCUUUUAUUGGUGAUUUAAAACCUGAUGACCCAUUUAUUACAUAAAUCAAUCAAUAUAAUAUCAAUAAGUGGUGAUACUUGACUCAAUCUUUUUAAGUAAAACUUUGGGUGGAGAAUGAGUCUUAUAGAUAAAAAAAUUUGAUUAAGAGAAAAAACUCUAAUAAAGAUGGACAACUAGAUUUUCGACAUAGAUUAAUUUAUUAACAAAGCUAGUUAUACUUUACACUAAUAUCAUAGCCUCUUAAUUAAAAAAAUUAUAUAUAAAUUCUCCUUUUUUUAUGAAAGAGGAAAAUUACUUUCUCCCUCACUCUUUUUAGUUUUUAUAAAGAUAAAAUCAUGCCAUUAAGAAUCAAAUGAUAGGAAAAAAAAGUAGUCAAAUUCCUAGUCUCAGCAGGGGUCAUAUCACCAAGAGCUCCACCAUUGACAACAUCAAUCAUACUCCUCUCCAUGUUGCUAAGUCCCUCAUAGAAAUAUUGAAGAAGGAGUUUCUAAGAAAUCUAGUGGUGAGGACUGCUUGCACACAAUUUCUUGAAUCUUUCCCAGUACUCAUACAAGCUCUCUCCACUAAGUUGCCUGAUGCCUGAAAUAUCUUUUCUGAUGGCAGUGGUCCUAGAUGCAGGGAGGAAUUUCUCCAAGAACACCCUCUUAAGGUCAUCCCAGCUGAAAAUGGACCUGAGAGCAAGGUAGUAUAGCCAAUCUUUUGUCACUCCCUCCAGAGAAUGAGGAAAAGCCUUUAGAAAGAUAUGAUCUUCUUGGACAUCAGGGGGCUUCAUGGUGGAACAAACAAUAUGGAACUCCUUAAGAUGCUUAUGAGGAUCUUCACCUGCAAGACCAUGAAACUUGGGCAGCAAAUGUAUUAGUCUAGUCUUUAGAACAUAUGGAACACCCUCAUCAGGAUAUUGAAUGCACAAGCUUUCAUAAGUGAAAUCAAGUGCAUCCAUCUCCCUAAGAAUCCUCUCACGAGGUGGAGGUUGAGCCAUGUUCUCAGUAUGAAAAUUAGUAGUUGAAUGCUCAAAAUCAGAAUAUUCAGAAUCACCAACAGUAAAAUACUCAGAAUGCUCAAAAUGCACAGAAUGAUCAGGAUGCACAAUAUGCCUAACUAAUCUAUGAAAGGUUGUAUCUAUUUCAGGAUGAAAGGGUUGUAAAUCACCUAGAUUGCCCCUAGUUAUGCACUAUAUGCAGCAAAUAAUGUGUUCUCAAACAAGCACCAGGGGAGGGUUAAAACUACAACUAUAGUCAAAUGAUAUCCAAAUGAGCUGAAAUUUUGUGAGCAACACCCUAAAAUCAUGAAAAGAUAGCACAAAAAAUUUCAAACAAAAAUUCAAAGUCUAACUAUGAAAACUACUUAAGCAAAGUUUAGAAAAAUAGGACAAUAAUACUUGAAAAAUAGAAAAAACUUAGUAAACAACUGAUUUUUCGAGUGUGGGAGACACCAACCAGCUAAAGCAGGUUGCCACAAUAUAGGAAAUUUUUUUUUUACCCCAAAUGCAUAUAUAAUAAUAGUCAUUCUGAUACCCGGAGCAAAAGUUAUGACCGUUUUAAGUUUUGUUAAAAACAAGUUCCCAAAAUUUUUGUCUCUCUCAAAUUCAACCACAACAAGUGCUCCUGGUAUUUUUCACUCAAAAUAUGGAUCAAAAGAAACUACCACACAAAAAAUCAGCCAAAAAUAACAACUCUAACUAUCAAAACAAAAAUCUCUAAUUAAAUUGCAAAAUCAGUGGCUAAUCACUGUUCAUAGCAUAACACCAACUGAAUCAGUUGCUAAACAGUCGCUAAAAGUAGUCGCUAAACAGGGGGCGCGACUGAAAUGCAAAACAGAACGCUACACAAAAACAAAACAACUAAACACUAUUAUGAUCGAGGUCAUACCCGAAUCAAAUAAACAUUAAAAAUGCAGUAUCUAGGAAGUGAUCCUAGGUCGUCUCCCAACGAGCAAUGGUCAACCAAACGUUCAUAACAAAUUGUAAUAAAAUAGUAACGAAUUAGGGGGGGGGGUUGUUUGUUUUUUUAAAUUAAACCGCAAGAAAAUUCGAAUUAAAGAAAUAAAAGAAUUAAAACAUGUUGUUUCCCCUUGAUUCACAAGCAAGUCUCUUAUCCUAGGUUACGAGAAUUUAUCCUUAAUCAGUUCAACCACUCAAUCCAACCCUAAAUUAAAUUAUUAAGCAAAAAUUAACAUAAGGCUGUCAUUAUGUGAUUAAGCAACACAUACACCAAUUAAUCAUGAACGAAACUGAUCAUUAAGCAUGAACAUAAAUUAAGCGCAGAGACAAUUAAUCAUGCACUAAGCAUGCAUGGAUUAAUAACAAUAAAUACAGAGUAAUUGGUGAAGAGGAAAAACUGAUCAAAAUUCAAUAGUAAUAACAAAACCUCAAAGAGAAGCAGAAAUGAAAUUGUAGAAAAUGAAUUUUAUUCUACGUGAAUAGUAAAAACUGGAAUUCUAAAACCCUAGAAUUAUUCUCCUCUUCCAAAAACUCCCUAAACUAAAACCUUGGUGCUGUUAUAUAGGUCCUCAGCCCCAAAGCUUACAAAUCUAUUUUAAGUCCAAGCCCAUAAACGAAAUAAAAUAAAAUUUGGACAAGAUAAGAUAAGAUUGGAUGAAAUAAAAUCUGGACGAAAUAAAAUCUAUAUGAAAUAAAAUAUGGAUAAGAUAAGAUUUGAUAAAAUAAAAUUGUCUGCUCUCUUCAAGUCCAAGCCCAAUUCCAGAUUCAAGCCCAAUUGCUUAUAAUUCUCCUGAAAUUAAAUUAAAAAAAAACAAAAUUAGUCAAGUAGGCCCAAAUGAUAAAACUGCAUAAUUAAUUUGACAAUUAAGGCUAAUCAGUAAUUAAAAUGGUGACAAAAAGGGUUAAGAAAUAGGAGAAAAUAAUGACACAUCAAUGAGUGUUGAAGAGUAUAGGCAACAAAUGGAACUACUCCUUUUGAGAGCUGAGCUUAGGGAGGCAGAAAGAACAAGUAUUGCUAGGUUCCUUAGUGGGCUUAAUAUGGAAGUGAGGGACAAGGUUGAGCUCCUUCCAUAUAGGGACCUAUAUGACCUAGUCCAACUUUGCAUAAGGGUAGAGCAACAACUUAAAAGAAGCCUACUUCAAAAUCUUAUGGGUCUCACUUUUAUCCAAAGAAAGACCAAGGUCAAGGCAUCUUAAGGGCUGCACCUUCUAGGCCCAAAGAUGAUAAGGGGAAGACAAUAGAAAGGCUACCCCCUAAGGCUAGUAUGCAAGAGAAGACUAGCUCUAUAAAAUGCUUUAAAUGUCUUGGAAGAUGACACAUUGCUUCUCAAUGCCCCACCAAGAAAACCAUGAUUAUGAGAGGCCAAGACAUUUAUAGUAGCCAAGAUGAGGUUACUACUUCACCUUCCUCUAGUGAAAGUGAAAAAGCAAAAGGGGAAGAAUUUAGUGAAGAAAUCUACCCCCAAGAAGAAGGGGACCUUCUAAUGGUCAGAAGGCUUCUAGGAGGUCAAUCUUGUGACUUGACCCAAUCUCAAAGAGAGAAUAUUUUUCUCACAAGGUUUAAAAUUUUUUUAUAACACAUGCUCUCUCAUUGUAGAUAGUGGUUCAUGUUGCAAUUGUUGCAGCACAAGAUUAGUCUCUAAGUUGAGCCUUGCUAUCACUUCCCAUCCAAAGCCUUACAAACUUCAAUGGCUCAAUGAGCAAGGGGAGAUGAUAGUCAAUCAACAAGUGAAAGUGUCUUUCUCCAUUGGAACAUAUAAGGAUGAAGUGAUUUGUGAUGUAGUUCCUAUGGAGGAAGGACACCUUCUCUUAGGUAGGCCAUGGCAAUAUGAUAGGAAAAUAAUCUAUAAUGGCCUAACUAAUGAGAUAACCCUCACCCACCUUGUAACAAAGUUUGUGUUGCAUCCUUAAACACCUUCACAGGUGGCCAAAGAUCAACUAACUAUGAAAAAUAAGAGGGAUGAGGAAGAAAAACUAGAAAAACAAAAGAAAAAGAAGGAUAGUAAGGCCUUGUCUUCAAAGGCCAAGAGGAAAAAGAUUCCUCCAAGAAGAUUGUUAAGAAGGAAAUUCAUUUUGCAACAAAAGGUUUUAUCAAAAGAGCUCUCCUUCUUAAACAAUCCUUCUACCUUCUCCUAUCAAGGGAAACCUCCCUUAGCACUACCACAAUUCCUACAUUUGAGACCUUACCCCCAAAGGUCCAAGAACUCUUACAUGAAUUUGGUGAUAUAUUUCCCAAAGAGAUACCCCUUAGGCUACCUCCUCUUAGGGGAAUAGAACACUAAAUAGACUUAGUCCCAGGAGCAAGCCUUCCUAAUAGGCCAACCUAUAGGACUAACCCUUAGGAGACUAAGGAUAUAUAGUCUCAGGUUAAAGAAUUGUUGGAGAAGGGUUGGGUCCAAGAGAGCCUAAGCCCUUGUGUUGUGCCAGUGUUGUUGGUGCCCAAAAAAGAUGGUAAGUGGAGAAUGUGUACAGAUUGCAGGGCCAUUAACAACAUUACUGUAAAGUAUAGGCACCCCAUUCCUAGACUUGAUGAUUUGCUUGAUGAGUUGCAUGGUGCCAACAUCUUUUCAAAAAUUGAUCUUAAAAGUGGUUAUCACCAAAUCAAGAUGAAAGAAGGUGAUGAGUGGAAAACCCCUUUCAAGACCAAGUUUAGUUUCUAUGAAUGGUUAGUGAUGCCUUUUGGGCUCACUAAUACACCAAGCACCUUUAUGAGGCUUAUGCAUCAUGUCUUAAGGGAUUUCAUAGGUAGAUUUGUAGUUGUUUAUUUUGAUGAUAUUUUAGUGUACAGUAGGAGCCUAGAUGAUCACUUAGGACAUCUCAGGCUAGUUCUUUUAGUCCUUAGGAAAAACACCCUCUACGCAAAUAUAGAGAAGUGUACCUUUUGUGUAGAUAAUAUAGUUUUCUUAGGGUUUGUAGUUGGUAAAAAUGGGGUCCAAGUGGACCCUGAGAAAAUCAAGGCUAUCCAAGAAUGGCCCACCCCAAAAAGUGUGGGAUAUAUUAGGAGCUUCCAUGGGUUAGCAAGCUUCUAUAGAAGGUUCGUUCCUAAUUUCUCUACAAUUGCCUCACCUCUCAAUGAGUUGGUGAAGAAGAAUGUGGCAUUUACUUGGGGUGAAAGACAAGAGCAAGCCUUUGCUUUGCUCAAAGAAAAGCUUACUAAGGCACUUGUUCUAGCUCUUCUUAACUUUUCUAAAACAUUUGAGCUAGAAUGUGAUGCCUCUAGAGUGGGAGUUGGAGUUGUAUUGUUACAAGGUGGGCACUGUCAUACCCUAAUUUCGUCCGGGGACUAUUGUUUGAUGGCAUGCAACCUUUGCUUGACCGCUUCGAGGUACUUGGCACCCAUUGUUGCACAAUCCGUGAGGUUCCGUAACAUGCCGGAAGUCAAAAGGAAGCAUUGUUGCACAAUUCGUGAGGUUCCGUAACAUUCCGAAAGCCAAAAAAGGGAUGAUUACGUAAUCCGUAAGGUUCCAUGACGUUACAAAAAGAAAAUAAGUAUCGUUACGAAAUUCGUAAAGUUCCGUAACGUUACGGAAAAAGAAUCAGCAAAAAAAGGCAGGGGGUGUAUUUAGUAAACAGGGAGGUGCAAAUAGCAACUAAGCCCACUUGGGCCUACCAGGAAGUUCCUCCAGAAGGCACCACCAGAAGGUGGUGCCUUCUGGAGGAAGCAACCUAGCUCGCCUGGGCGAGUUGGGUGGCAAGCUUCUCCCUCUUUUUCCUAUAAAUAGGGGGAGGAGGGCAGAACAAAAAUGUUCAACCCUCAUGGUAUCUGAGAAUCACUUAAAAUUAGUGAGAAAAAUUGUUUUUGUGAAGAAAAUCCAAGUCGAGGCACUUCCGUAACGCUUUCGAGACGUUUCCAUGGGCGAUUUCGCGAAGGUUUUCCACCGUUCUUCAUCGUUCUUCGUCGUUCGCCGGUCUUCAACCGGUAAGUUCCCGAAAUCGAACUUUUCAAUUCAUUCUAUGUACCCUUAGUGGUCCCCACUUGUUUCGCGUGCUUUUAUUUUCAUUUCAUUUACUUUCCGUACCCCCUUUUGACGUGCUUUAGUCAUUUAUUCAAGUUAUUUUCUCGCCUAAUCAAAAAUAAAAUAAAUUUCCACCGAUCAUUCGAAUUGUAAUAUCUUUUAAUUUUUGUUAAAAUGAAAUCCGACCGGUCGAUCAUGCCGUAACCACGUUUAAAACCAAAAAAGAGGCAAAAUAAUAAUAUAAUAAUAAAAAAAUAUCUUUUAGUAAAAUAAUCAAAAAAAUCAAUCGGACGUUUUUCUUUGGGAUUUUUCUUUCUUAAUUGAAUUGACUAAUAACUAAAGUGAAACUAAGGCUAAAAUCAACUCACAAAAUCAAGCUUUGUCCGCAAAAAUCACUGAAAACCGUUUUAAGGUCCAACGCCUUAAACGAUCCUCUUUGCUUUUAUCGGUUAACAUGGACCGUUCGAAAGCGUAAAAUCAACACAUCACUUCACUGCCUUUGGAAAGAACUACGUAGGCCUGAUUUCCUCUUCGAUGGAGGGUAGGUAGGAGCAAAAGCCCCGCUUUUGCCGACCUCAAAAAUAAAAAGAGACAAAAAAUUUUAGAUACAUGAUUUCACAAAACUCUAAUCUAAGGCUGUUGUCCUUUGGGACAAACGUGAGAGGUGCUAAUACCUUCCUCAAGCAUAAAGAUAACACCCGAAUCUGGAAUAUUUUUUAUGACCGGUUUCCUUUAGUUUUUCUAACGUUUUCCUUUUAAUAAACGUUGGUGGCGACUCCGCGCAUUUUUCUCCCAUGGAAGACGUGCUCGUGAGCCUCGCCUCGCUCGCCUGCAAAAGGGUAGGUUGCGACAGGCACCCUAUUGCUUAUUUUAGUGAAAAAAUUCAUGGUGCCACCCUCAACUACCCCACCUAUGAUAAAGAGCUUUAUGCCUUAAUAAGAGCCCUCCAAACUUGGGAACAUUACCUUGUUUCCAAGGAAUUUGUCAUUCAUAGUGAUCAUGAAUCACUUAAGUACAUUAGCGGGCAAAGAAAGUUAAAUAAAAGGCAUGCAAAAUGGAUAAAGUACCUAGAGAAAUUUCCAUAUGUUAUCAAAUACAAAAAGGGAAAAAUAAAUGAGGUAGCUGAUGCCCUCUCUAGGAGACACAGAUUUUUUUGCUCCCUAGGAGCUCAAAUUUUAGGAUUUGAUAACAUUAGGGACUUAUAUGCUUCAGAUGAACAUUUCUCUCCCAUUUAUGAGAGUUGUGGGCAAAAGGGGCAAGAUGGAUUCUAUUUGGCUGAGGGAUAUUUGUUCAAAGAAGGAAAGCUUUGCAUACCCCAAGGAUCCACCAGGAAAUUACUUGUGAAAGAGAGCCAUGAGGGUGGGUUCAUAGGUCACUUUGGGAUAGACAAGACCCUUGUCUUACUCAAAGAAAAGUUUUAUUGGCCCCAUAUGAAGAAAGAUGUCCAUAAGCAUUACACUAGGUGUGUGGCUUGUUUACAAGCCAAGUCUAGGGUGAUGCCUCAUGGGCUAUACACACCCUUACCCAUCUCAUCUGCACCUUGGGUAGACAUUAGUAUGGACUUUGUCAUUGGGCUUCCUAGAACCCAAAGAGGUGUAGACUCUAUCUUUGUGGUGGUGGAUAGGUUUAGCAAGAUGGCACACUUUAUACCAUGCCACAAGGUGGAUGAUGCUUCCCACAUCUCAAAACUCUUUCAGGGAAGUUGUGAGACUCCAUGGUUUGCCUAGGACCAUUAUGUCAGAUAGAGAUGCUAAGUUCCUUAGCCACUUCUGGAAAACCUUAUGGGCUAAGCUAGGAACUAAGCUUAUUUUCUCUACCACUUGUCAUCCACAAACUGAUAGGCAAAUAGAGGUAGUGAAUAGGUCUUUAUCCAGCCUUUUAAGGGCUCUUCUAAAAGGCAACCAUAAGUCUUGGGAUGAGUAUCUUCCUUAUGUAUAAUUUGCCUACAACAGGGGGGUUCAUAGAACCACCAAGCAAUCCCCUUUUGAGGUUGUCUAUGGGUUCAAUCCCCUAACACCCUUAGACCUCAUUCCCCUCCCACUUGACACUUCUUUUAUACAUAAAGAAGGGGAAUCUAGGUCAGAGUUUGUAAAGAAGUUGCAUGAAAUGGUUAAGAACCAAAUAGAGAACCAAACAAAGGUGUAUUCAACUAAAGACAAUAGAGGAAGAAAUGAGCUAGUUCUUAAUGAAGGGGACUGGGUUUGGCUCCAUCUUAGGAAGGAUAGAUUCCCUACUAAUAGGAAAUCCAAGAUUAGCCCUAGAGGGGAUGAACCUUUUCAGGUCUCGAAGAGGAUCAAUAACAAUGCCUGUAACACCCUGAAAUAUUAUUAGUAAUUAUAAUUGAUGUUUUAUUUUAUUUGUUGUGUUGUUUUAUCCAUGUUUUAUUUUAAAGGAGGUUAGUUUAGUUAUUAGAGGGGUGUGGGUAGUUAAAACUCUAGCUUCUCAAAGAAGCCUCACGAGGAAGCUUCUCAAGGAAGCCUCUUGAGAAAAGCUUCUCAAGGAAGCUACCUAAAGCUGUCUUGGUAAAAGUGUCCUCCUGCAUUUGUUAACCGUUGGAGCUUCUCAAAAUUUGGUCUGGAGGUUCAUAGGACAGAUGUCCAUGAUCUGACCGUUGCGAUCUGCGAUAUGUCUUCUGGUGUGUGAGAAAAGCUUCUUUUCCCGAGAGUAGAAACACUUGAGUGUUUCAAGUCUUAUUUUUCGUGUAGCCUUGGAAAACAACCAUUCAUUUCUCCUUCUUUCUUCCAAAACCCUUCCCCAACGUCCUAAGCUUCUUCUCCACCACCCACAACCACCGGUGGCCACCACAGACCAUCGUUUUUCUCUGUUGAAACCCCACACCGAGAGGAACCCUUUAAUCGGAGUGAAAUCUUCUAAGCUUGUCUCGCGGUUUCGGUAGAGAACGAAGCCCAAUCUGACCUUCACGAUUUUCUUCAUGGUAACCGUGAUUCUAUGCUUGUUCCUUGUUAGUUUCAACUUGUCUUUGCAUCUUUUCUAACUUUGGAACCACCAUUGUAUAUUUUAUGUGUCCUUUGAAAAACCCUAGAGAAAGAGACUUUGUAAGCGUUAUCUUUUUCUGAAAUGGGUGUUAUUUUUGUGACCUUCACUGAACCCCGAUCGCAUUGGCAGGAUCGGAAUUUCAAAAUGAUGUUCCUUUUGUAGAAUCCGAAAUGCCCUUAGCCUUUUCAUGUAGUGACAUGAGUAUUUGACUCAGAGUAUUGUUAUUAACUUUAUUUUUGAAAUCCAUAGUAAUUUCCUUCAUUUUGGUGCAGUAGAGACUUGCGUUGGACCGACAAGUGUGAACCAGAGAAAGGCUUCUAAGUGACGCAAAGAGGAACCGAUUGGGAGCUCACGAUAAGUGAGGGGAGUUUAUUAUAAAAUUUACCAUUUUGACACCAUAGUUAGGGUCAGGGAACCUAGCUAUGAGAAUAUAUGUUUGUCCUUGUUGCAUGCUGAUUUUUCUUUAUAGAAAACAACGUUUUUAACUAAUGGGAUGCGAUAUAUUUAUUGUUGAUGAAUGGAAUUAUUGUCUUUAUUUGACUUGUGUUGUUUGAAGACCUAGGGAGUGUGAAUCUCAGGCAUGAAAGAAAUAUGUAUAUGCGGAAUGCGACUUACUGUUGAUGUUACUAUUGAUGACUUUAAUUGAUAUGUGGUGAUGUUGAUAUUUAUGAUGAUAUUGAUUUGAGAUGAUGUUGCUAAUGAAGAUCAUGUCAACAUGAAUUGAUGUUACUAUUGAUGAUUAUGUGAAUAUGAAAUGAGGUUGUUAUUGUUGUUGAUAGCGCCAUUGAGAUGAGAUGAUGUUUAUGUUGAGAAUGAUAUUGAAAUGGAAUGUUGAUGAUGUUGGAAAUGCAUUGAGAUGUGCAUGUUUUGUAUGUUCAUGGGGGGUGUAGUGACCUUGUCGGAUGCCCCUUGUGUGGGAAACUAGAGUGGUUAAAGAAUUUAAGCAUUUCUGAGGGGAUGCUUAGGCGCUUUAAUUCGUCCAUGGUCAUGUACUUGACGACGCCCGUGUUUCAUACGUUGGAUGUUGUGUAUGUUCGUGGGGGGGGGGGGGGGUGCAGUGACCUUGUCGAAUGUGCCUUGUGAGGGAAACUAGAGUGGUUAAAGAAUUUAAGCAUUUCUGAGGGGAUGUUUAGGCGCUUUAAUUCAUCCAUGGUCAUGUACUUGACGAUGCCUACGUUCAUACGUCGUAUGUUGUGUAUGUUCAUGGGGGGAGCGCUGACCUUGUCGGAUGUCCCUUGUGGGAGAAAAUAGAGUGGUUAAAGGAUUUAAGCAUCUCUGAGGGGAUGCUUAGGCGCUUUAAUUCAUCCAUGGUCAGGUACUUGAUGACGCCCAUGGUUCAUGCCACAUAUGACACGGGAAAUAGUAUAAAUUAUGGCAGUAUGUACUUUGUACUAUGGGGUGUCUCACCUGGUUGGGAACUCCCUUGUGGCCCAAGCUGAUCACCGAAGGGUGGGGGGGAGUUACGGUGCACGACUAGGUGGCCUCGACAAAUACUGCAUGGUUUCCUAAGUGAGGUGUAGUGUGGACACGCUUAGGCUAUUCCCUUGGUAUUGGAUACAGUAUGUAUCGCAUUUCAUCUGAGAGUUAAGGUCAGGUGUAUGCAUUAUUUUGAGCAUAACUGAUUGGAUCCAUGGAUGGAUGAUGAAUAAUUGUUUGAUGUGUGUGUUGAUUAACAAAUGUUAUGUAAGCUCAUGAUGUUUGUCUAUGUUCUCUUACUAAUUGUGGUUAUUUGGAUUUAGUAUUGGUUCUUUUUAUAAUGAAAUCACCCUUGCAAUUUUGUAUCAUGUGGUUGAUACUUGUGAUGAUCGCGAGCCUUGUUCGUGGGAGCAGGAUGACAUCAGUAGGGUGCAGGAAGUGAGAUUCUGUUGAGGAGCCGCCGAGCCGACGUGAUGGCGUUAGGAUUAUUUUGGGAGAGAUUUGUGUUUUGUUAAUCAACUCCUCUAUAAUUAGUUCAUGAUUCCUUUUGUUGAACUAAAGAUGUAAAGCUCAAAUUUUUAAUUAUAUGUAUGAACAAGUUUAAUUUCCAUUAUGUGUAUAACGUGUACUGAGUUACUAUUACUAUAUAUAUAUGUGUGUGUGUGUGUGUGUGUGUGUGUGUGUGUGUGUGUGUGUGUGUGUGUAUUUACCUAAGUAAUGGUGUGUUGUUUGGUGAAUGUAUGUCGAGACAAAUAUUACUUUUAUUUUUAUAAGCAAAUUAAGGGAUUUUUCAUUUAAAAAUUGAAAUUAUCGCAUAUUAGAGUGGUGAUAUCGUAGCGACGAGGCGGGUCGUUACAAUGCCUAUAGGUUGGACUUCCCAGAACAGUAUGGAGUUAACACCACUUUUAACAUUUCUGAUUUAAUUCCUUUUGUAGGUGAAGCUGAUAUUCAGGAGGAGGAACCAAUAGAUUUGAAGUCAAAUCCUCUUCAAGGGGGAGGGGAUGAUGCAAUCCUCCCUAGGAAGGGACCAGUCGCAAGAGCCAUGAGCAAGAGGCUCCAAGAGGAUUGGGCUAGAGCUGCUAAAGAAGACCCUAGGGUUCUCAUGAAUCUCGGGGUAGAUUUCUGAGCCCAUGGGCCAAGGUGGGGUCCACUUAUCUUCGUACAUAUUAGACUAGAAUUUCAUUAUUUUUGGUCCUUGUAUUUAGGGCUCCAUAAUAUAGGUAGGGUACCUUAGAAAUGUAGGAUUUUUCAGCCAUUGUAUUUUAGGGCACCUAGACUAGUUUUUGUAUUAGGGGUAGUUUUAUAAUUUCACAUGGAUUAAGUGAAUAUUUGAUGUGUGUGUUGGGAAAUAAUUUUAAUUGAAUUGGGAGAAGCCCAAUCCAAUUAAAUUUUAGAGGGGGAGGUGAGCAUUUGCUUGCUACACCCCAUUGCCACAUCAUAUAGUCAUACUUUGUGCAUGUCCUUCAUGCUUUACAUGCCUCAUGACACCUAAGCACACUUAGUGGAGAAUCUUGGACUUGAUCUUGGAUUAUUGGGCUGAACCAUAACUAAAAUUCACUAAUCAUAAUUAGUGAUUAGUGAAAUUUUGGCUCCAAAAUUUGGCUCCACAAAUUCAAUUUCAAAUUCAAGUGAAAUUUGAAUAGAAAUUCAAAUUUCCCUCCAAUUUUGUGUGACACUUAGGCUAUAAAUAGAGGCCAUGUGUGUGCAUUUUUUGAACUUUGAUCAUUUGAGAAUUACACUUCAAAGUUCAGACCUCAUUUGAGGCACAAAAUUUCGUGCUCCUUCUCUCCUUUUCCCUCCACUCAUCUUCUCCUACCUUCAAGCUCUUAUCCAUGGCUUCCUAUGGUGGUAAGCUUGUUCUUGACUCAUCUUCUCCUUGAAGUGGCAUCUCCAAUUAUCUUUCUUCCUUCUCCAUUCCGCUGCUAUUCAUCUUCAAGAAGCAAAGGACUCCAUUGACGAAGAAGAUCCAAGGCCUUCAAGCUCCACAUGGAGCUACAUCAAGUUUGAAUUUGCAAUUAUAUUGAAUAUAUGUGAUACAUAAUGAUCAUAUUUGGUUUGAACAAAAUUACCUCUCUUAAAGGACACUUAUGGUUUCUACUAAAAAAUAGAAUUUAUGUUUUAACACAUAAUUUAAAUGAGAUGUUUUAUUUGACCAAUUCGAGCUUUCAGUUGUAGCUCUAGUGAGUGUCCAUUUGAUUUAGAAUUUGAUAAAAGUGAUUUUGAAAUAUUUAAUGUGAUUGAGAUGUGUGCUUAAAUUAAUCCGACAGUGACUAAGUUCUUUAGUUUUAAUACCGAUUGACAUUCUAUCUUAGCCCCCUUUUAGAAAACAUGAGAUGAGAUUCCACAAAUUUUUGGUAAUGAACUAGCAAAUGAGAUUAAUAAUCUCAAGCUCACAUUUUAUUUUACUUCAAAGUCUAUGUAGUCCUGAACAUAAAUUUUGAAACAAAAGGCUUUAUUCUCAACUAGAAAGUAGAAACCAAGUAAAGCCUCAAUCUAAAUAGGGAAUUAGUGAAACUAAGGGGACCAAAUGUCUCAAUAAAAAUCCAGGGAGACCAAAAUUGUGAAAUUGUAAAAUUAGAGGGAUCAAAAUUAUAGUUUAGCCUUUCUUUAAAGUUUAAAAAGUCUCUCACUAUUUGCUUUAGGCCUCCCUUUUUGUUGGCCUGACCCUGAUUCUUAUCCCUAGAAUUCGUGAAUUGUAUGUCUCAAAUUCUCAGCUUCCUACUCAAGAUUUGAUUUUUCAAUUAUCACCUCAAGUAUAUGACCAUUCAAUUGACUUUCAUCAAAGCAUAGAGAACAUAAAUUAAUUGCAAAUAUGAGAGUUAAGAAUAUAAAUAGAAUAAUAAAUCUAAAAUUUCAUAAUUGAAGUAUUCAAUCUUUGAUGAAAAACCAUAAAGUCUUAGUGCAAGAUUGAAGAUCAACAGAAGAUUCAAAAUACACUUCAUAUAUAGUGUAUGAUUGAGUACAAAGCACAACGAAAAGAUUUGUAAGGACAAUCGUCAAUCAUGAAAAUAACCAUGCGUUACAGAGAAGUAUUAGAGUAGGGUAUCUCCUAGUGUGCUUCAAAGACCAACCUAUUGAAAGUUGGUGGACAUGUUACCUCUCGAACAUUGAUGAGGACAAGGAGUAAUCGUAUGUGCAAAAAAAAAGAGUAACAGACAAACAACGACUCUUGACAGACUUAUGAGAGAGUACAAAAUAUGUCAAAAAAGUUUCAUAAGAAGUGUGUGAGAGUACAAAAUAUGUCAAAAAGUCUUGUGUUGGUUUGUUGUAAAGGUCAUCAAUCUUGAAAGGUCAAGUGUUACACUCUAGAUAUCACACUUGUGAAAUUUCAAUCCCUUCAUCGAUCUUCUAUUAAAAAAUUUGUUGAUGCGAUAAUUGAUGCGCUGCCUAAAAAAUAAUAAUAUGCUUUAAUUACACUUUUGGUCUCUCUAGUAUCAAUAAUAUUAAAUGGGAGAUUGAUGGAGGGAACAAAUUCACACAUUGCAAUUCUGGAAUGGUCCAAUUUCCACAACUAAAAUUACACAAAUGUAAUACUUGUAAUGUAUGACUCUUCUCAUUUGGUCAAACUAGCUUAUAAACUAGUCAAAUGAGCUCAUAAGCUUCUUGAGUGCCUUACUAUUUAACUUACUUGACAACUUUUCAAAGGUUUAAAUAUGUUUUCCGUCCUUGUAAAUAUACCAAAGUUCAUUUCUUUCCCUGCAAACUUUUUGGCUAUUUUUCGUCCUUGUAAAAUUAUAAUGUGCUACUUUUUGGCCCAAAGUUAGGUUUGGAUGACUUUGAAUCUAUUUGAUCCUGUGUGGUGUUUAUGUAAUUUUUGGGGGUUAGAAACCACCACAAAUUGAUUUAAAGAAAUGCAAUAAUCAAAACAUGAUGUUGUCUCGGAUCCAGAAAGCAAAACAUGAAAUGCCAAAGUUUGAUCAAGAAAAAAUACAACAAAAUCAAAACAUGAGCACGAAAGAAGCCAAAAUUUAUAGAGUGAUCACUAGAUCUGGACGGUGGUAGUGGUGGUGUUGGAGGUGGGUGAUGGCGGCAUGAAGGUGGCACAAAGGCUUGAAGGUGGUACGCCGUGUUUAGGUCGCAGAAGGUGGCAUGAAGGCUUAGAUUUUUUGGAUUUGAAUGUUUUGGGUUUGGAUUUGGACAAAGAUGAUGAUUUAUGGGGUGGAUCUGAUAGCUGGUGGUGGUGUUAGAGGCGAGUGUUCGUGGAAGAGGUUCAAAAUGACAUAGAGAGGCAUCAGAGGUGGUGAACAUAGUGGAAGGAUCAUUCCAAGUGGUGAAUGCGGUGGUUGCAGCAUCAGAGAGCAAAGGCACCGCAAAUUACGAGCUUGUGGAAGCCAAGAUGAGACAAAGAAGCACAAUGUGGGAGAAGAACAAAUGAAGGAGAGCGGUGUAGGGGAAGAACAAGUGAGGGAGAAAGGGAAAGAAAAAUAGAGCUACAUGUAUCCAGUUUUUAGUGGACAUCCAUUUGAAACGUAGGUUCGAAUCAAUCCAACUCUGGCUUCGAGACAAAAAGUAACACAUUAUAAUUUUACAGGAAUGAAAAAUAAACAUAAAUUUUUGCAGCAAUGAAAUUCAAACUUUGGUAUAUUUACAGGAGCAAAAAACAUAUUUUAGUCAUUUUUAAAUUCAUCAUGCAGGGACAGAUAAACUUUGUUACUUGGACCCCUAAGUUUUUUUUUGUAUUAAUUUUUUAAUAUAUAUAAUAUAAUAUUUUAAUAUAGACUAAUUAUUUCAAUCCUAAAAUAUAUAGUAAUAAAUCCUAUUGAGAUAAAUAAUGACAUUUAUGUAUCAUUUAUUUAUUUCUUAUUUUUUGAUAAAACAUUUCAUUCAUAAUCCUUUUUAUAGUUUUUAUAUAUUGUUAAAAUAAUGAUAUUUCCCCCACUUUUUAGAUAAAUAUUUUAGUUUCCUUUUGUAAUAUUUAUUUUUGUUAAUAAUUAUAUUUUUUGCUUUAGAUAAAUUAUUUGAAUAUCAUUUAUUUUACUUUUCAUCUGUAUCUUUUGUUUAUCAUUUGUUAUUUUUAUUUUAAAGACUAUAAAUAAUUCCAUUUAAUUAUUAAUGUAACGCCUUGAAAUUUCGCUAACUAUAAAUCGAUGUUUAAAUGUAUUUAUUGUGUUGUUUGAUUAUAUGAUUGAAUUGAAUAAGUUGAGGAAUGAUGUGAAUUAGACAAGUGUGGUUUGCUUGAUGUGGAUGUUGAGUUAUGUGGAGUUUUAUUGACCUAAGCUGAAAUUAUGAGAUUUCAAAUUUUACCUAAACCUAUUCCAAUAAAACUGUGACCCUGGAUUCUUUAACCGUUGAAUCAUCUUCAAAUUUAGACCGUAGGUUUCUAACACAUGUCCCCCCAAUUUGCCGUUGGGAUUUACAAAUUAACAAUUUUUUACCUCUCCUUAGCGCGAGAAGUGCGCUAAGCGCAAUUCCAACCUGAGAGAGAAUUGCAUUGAGUGCGAAUUAUUGCGCUUAACACAAGAGGAAUUGCGCUCAGUGUGAAUUGUCGCGCUUAGCGCAAAUCCCAACCCGAGAGGAAUUGUGCUAAGCGCAAAAAUUUGCGCUUAAUGCCAAAAGUGGACUCCGACUUAACGAGACGAGCUCGCUUAAUGAGAUUUGUAGAUUAUAAAAUUGAUGUUAUUUACAUGACCUUCACUAAAUCCCAAUCACAUUGGCGUGAUCGAAAUUUCAAAAUGGCGUCUCCUUUUAGUAGAAUCCGAAACACCCCUUAGCCAUUUAUGUUUUGAUAGGGGUAGUUGACCCCAAAUGUUGUUAUUAACCUUAUUUUUUAAAUCUAUACUAAAUUUUGCUUCAAUUUGGUAUAUAAAACCUUGCAUUUGGACUGACGAACGUGAACAAGAGAGGUCUCUGAGCGAUGCAAAGAGGAACUGAUGGAGAGGUUACGAUAAGUGAGGGGAGUAUAUUAUAAUUUUUGGUGCAUGCUCGUUUUCAAGAAAAAUAAUGUUUUUGACUAAUGGGAUGUGACAUUAUUGUUUUUAUUAGACUUGUGUUGUUUGAAGACCUGGGGAGUGUGAAUCUCAAGCAUGAAUUAUAUAUGUAUGUAUAUGCGGAAUGUGAUUUACUGAUGAUAUUAUUAAUAAUGAUAUUAAUUGAUAUGAGGUGACAUUAAUGUUUAUGAUAAUAUUGAUAGAGAAUGAUGUUGUUAUUGAAGAUGAUAUUGAUAAUGAUUGAUAUGAGACGACAAUGUUUGUGUUUAUGAUAAUAUUGAUAUGAGAUGAUGUUGAUGUUGAGAAUGACAUUAAUAUGAGAUGAUGUUGAUGUUGAUAAUGACAUUGAGAUGAGAUGUUGCUGAUGUUGAAAAUGUCAUUGUAAUGUAUAUGUACAUGGGGGGCGCAGUGUCCAUGAUGUAUAUCCUUGGUGGGAGAAANNNNNNNNNNNNNNNNNNNNNNNNNNNNNNNNNNNNNNNNNNNNNNNNNNNNNNNNNNNNNNNNNNNNNNNNNNNNNNNNNNNNNNNNNNNNNNNNNNNNUGGAUAGAGAAAAGUUUAACUUUAGCCAUAUAGUUCUUGUAUUUUUCUCUGGGGGGGGAAUUCUUUACCUUGGGGAAAAAACACUUAUUUGAAAUACCUUUAAAACUCAGGUUGGUCACCAAAGAGGGUUUGGGGGGGGGGGGAGGGGAGUUGCCUAUGCACGACAAGGUGACAUCGAUACUUGCUGUCUAGUUUUCCUAAGUGAGAGUGUCGUGUGGACACACUUAGGCUAUUUCCUGACGAAUGGUAUCACAUUGCAUUUGAGAGUUGAGGUUAGGUGCAUGCAUCAUAUUGAGCAUGCUUGAUUAUAAUUAUGGAAGGUUGAUGACUACUAGUUGAGUGUAUGUUGGACUAAUAGAUGUUUGUGUAUGAUUAUGGUAUUUGUUAAUGCUUUCUUACUAAUCAUGGUCAUUUUAUUUUUGUGUUAAUUUAUUUUAUAAUAAACUCACCCUUGCAAUCUUUUUUACCAUGUGGUUGGUACCUGUGAUGAUCGUGAACCUUUGUUUGUGGGAGCAGAAGGACAGUAGUAUAGUACGUGAAAUGAGAUUCUUUUGUGGAGUCGUCAAGACGACAUGAUGACGUUGAAAUUAUUUUGGGAGAGUUGUGUUUUGUUAAUCAACUCCUCCGUAGCUGAUUCUAUAUUCUUUUUGAAUUAAGGAUGUAAAUCAUAAAUUUAAUUAUAUAUAUGAACUAAUUUACUUUCUAUUAUGUGAAUGAUGUGUACUGAGUUACUAUAUAUAUAUUCAUUUAAGUAAUUGUGCAUUGUUUGGUGAAUGUAUAUCGCGAAAAAUUUACUCUCAUUUUUCAUAAGCAAAUUAACAGAGUUUUCAUUUAAAAAUUGAAAUUUACGCGGUUUAGAGUGAUGAUAUCGUAGCGACGAGACAGAUCGUUAGAAUUAAUAUUUCUUUUAUAUUGAUUUGAUUAUAAAUGAUUUAAGAAUUAAAAGUUAUUUAUAAAAAUUUACUAAUGACAUAAGCUUGAUUACAAAACUAUUCGAAGGAUUGACGACUUGAGGUUUGUUGAGACAUACUAGUAAAUAUUUUGUUUUUCAAUGUCUUCUUCAUAUAUUCAUUCUCCUCUUGUCUUUUUUUUUUUUAGGGGAAGAAGGGUAUUGUUUGUGAGAGUGACAUGCUUUGAACUUGAAUGCAUGGGUCCAAACAUAUGGUUAAGUAAAUCUUGAAAACCAAAUCAAAUAUUAGUUAGGUUGCAUAGUGAUCUGUCAAAAUUUUAUUUUAGGACAAUGAUUCAAUACUUGCAUUUUGUGACAUGUAAACUUGAUGAUAAACUUUUGUUAUCUUAAGUUUUUGAAAAUGUUUAAUUUAUCUUUGGCUUAAAUAUAUAUUAUCAAUAUUUUAAUUAAUUACUAAUAUAAUUAUAGUAAAAAAAAACUACUAAUGUAAUUAAUAUUUUAGAUCUUAUAAAAUAUUUAUAUGAAAUUUAAAAACAUAAAUGAACCGUAGUUAAGUUUUCUCCCUGAAAUUUAAUUGAUUUAAAUAUGUUUUUACAUCAUAUAAUAUCCUAUUUUGUUAUUUUAGUCCUAAUAUUUUUUUUUUCAAAAUGGUCCUUGCAAAAAUUCUUUUUUAUUUUUGUUUUGAUCAUUGUUAUUUUAUUUUAGUUCUUAUAUAUACAAUAUUUUUUAGUUCUCAUAACAUUUUUUUUUAUCAUUUUUGAUUAGUUGCCUUUAAAAAAAUUUAGAUGGACUAAAAAAAAUAAUUUACAUAUUACAAUGAUUAUAUAUAUAUAUAUAUAUAUAUAUAUAUUACAAGGAAUAAAAUAAAACAAUGAUCAAAAGAAAAAAUAUAUGUACAAAUCAUUUAAUUUUUUUAUAAAUAUCCAUACUAAAGUUAAGGUUAACAUGUGUCGCAACCUACCCUUUUGCGGGCGAGCGAGGUGAGGCUCACGGGUGCAUUUUCCAAAGGAGGAAAAUGCACAGAGUCGUCACCAAUGUUUAUUUGUGGAAAACGUCGGAAAAAUCGAAGGAAACCAGUCAUGAAGAAUAUUCCAGAUUCGGGAGUUGUAUUUACGUUUGAGGAAGGUAUUAACACCUCUCACGUUUGUCUCAAAGGCAAGAGGUUUAAUUUUAGAAUUGUGUGAAAUUGUGUACCUAAACUUUUAUUUCUUUUUUAUUUUUGAGGUCGACAAAAGCGAGGCUCUUGCUCCUACGUACCCUCUAUCAAAGAGGAAAUCAGACCUACAUAGUUCUUUUUUAAGGGUGAAUCAAGCGAUUCUUUUUACUUGGAAGGUGGUCAUUUUAAGGCGUUGGACCUUAAAAAUGAUCCUUUUUACUUGUUAAGAAAAACUGAGGUAUUGAAUCUUAAAAUCCUUUUUUAGUGAUUUUUCACGGACGAGCUUGACUUUGCGAGUUGAUUUUAGCCUUAGUUUCACUUUAGUUAUUAGUCAAUUCAAUUAAGAAAGAGAAAUCCCAAAGAGAAACGUUCGAUUGCUUUUUUUUUGGUUUAUUUUACUAAAAGAUAUUUUUUGAUUAUUAUAUUAUUAUUUUACCUCUUUUUGGUUUCCAACGUGGUUACGGCAUGACCGAACGGUCGGAUUUCAUUUUAACAGAAAUUAACGGAUAUUACAAUUCCAAUGAUCGGUGGAAAUUUAUUUUAUUUUUUGAUUAGGCGAGAAAACGGUUUAAACGAUCGGUUAAAGCUCGUCAAAAACGGAAGAAAAGAAACCAAAAUUGAACAAAAUAAAAAUGAAAGCCAAGAAACAAGAAAUGAAUUAAAAGUCUCGGAUUUGGAAACUUACCCGUUGAAGAACGAAGAACAGAUGAAGAACGGUGAAUAACGGAGGAAAACCUUCACGGAUUUGCUUACAGAAACAUCUCGGAAGCGUUACGGAAGCACCUCAGCUUGGAUUUUCUUCACGGAAAUAAUUUUUUUCACCCAAAAUAGCUGAAAUACAUCACCAGGGGGAUUCGGGACCCUUAGAACAGCCCCCUUCAGCCUAUUUAUAGGAAAAAAGGGGAGGAGGUUGCCGCCUAGCUCGCCCAGGUGAGGUGGGUUGCUUCCUCCAGAAGCAAUCCAGCUUCGAAAAUACUCUGGAAGGCCCAAUUUCAAAAUUUCAAAAUUGCUAUUUGCACCCUCCAUUUUUGAUAAGUUCACCCCCUUCUUUUGUAAUUUACGGAAAAGUUAUGGAAGCCUUACAAAAGCCUAUAGGACUUGAUUUUCUUCUUUUUUUUCUCUUCCUUCUCACCCAUAUUAAGUGAAAUAUGCUUAUUUAGGGUUAUGGGAAUUUUACGGAAGCAUUACGGGUGUCCCUGAAGCCCCGGAAGCCCAUUUUGUAACAAAACAGGGGAGGUGGUUGCCACCUAGCUCGCCCAGGCGAGCUCAGCUUGCCCAAGCGAGUUAGGUUGCUUCCACCUUAAGCAAGAAAUUGCCCAGGAACCUGUAGAAGGGCCCAGAUUUGAAAAUUACUAUUUGCACCCCCAUUUUACUAAAUACACCCCCUUUGCUUUUUUUGGUGAUUCUUUCUCCGUAACGUUACAGAACUUUACGAAUUCCGUAACAAUGCUUGUUUUCCUCCCGUAAUGUUACGGAACCUCACGGAUUACGUAAUCAUCCCUUUUUUUGGCUUCCGGAACGUCAUGGAACCUCACGAAUUGUGCAUCAAUGCUUUCUUUUGAUUUCCGGGGUGUUAAGGAAUUUCACGGAUUGUGUAAUGAUGCUUCCUUUUGAUUUCCGGCAUGUUUCAGAACUUCACGUAUUGUGCAACAAAGGGUGCUAAGUACCUCGAAGCGAUCAAACAAAGGUUACAUGCCAUGAAACAAUGGUCCCCGGACGAAAUUAGGGUAUGACAACAUGAAUUAUGUUCGAUAAGGUAUUUCAACUAACUUUUAAUUUGAUUUGCUAGCUGAAAGGUUUGUUUAACUAUUCGUUAAAUAAAUUGUUUUUAGUAACUCUUUUAGUAGUUGUUAACGUGUUAACAUUCUGAAGCACUACUUAAAGUAGUGUUUUUAAAACAUUAACUUCUUACUUUUUAUAUUUUUUUUAUUUUUAUUUUUAAUAUAUUUAUCUCAUUUCCUAAUUACUAUUUUAAAACAAAUUAUGGUUUUAUUUUAUUUAUUUUAUUAUUUUAUAUUUUUCAAUUAUUUUAAGAGUUAAUUUUAAUAAAUACUUAUAAUUUAAUAAGUUAGUUUUUUAAAUUUUAAUUAACUUUGCUGAACAUAAUCAUGGUGGUUGUAGGAAAAAGGAAAAGAAAGUGAUGAAUUUAAAUUUCUCUUACUAAAUAAAAAGUAAUAAACUAAUAAUAACAUUCACCAAAUGAAAAAAUUUAAUAAGACUCCAAACUAAAAAAAACAUUUGAUAUUGAUUAAAACAUAUUUAAAUCUAUGGAAUUCUAGUUCUAUCUUGUCAUCAUGAUAUUAUGAUUACAUGCAAUUAUGAAAAGAUUUUUCUAAGAUGAAAUAUUUGUGAGUGGACAUAAAUCCACUUCAUUUUGAUACACAACCAAUAAAAAAAUUAAUAAAUGAUAAAAUUUAAAGAAAAAAUGUUCCAUAAUUUAUUAAAUUUAAUUUGAUUAAUUCCUUCUAAUAAAUGCUGAUGAAUAUUUUUUCUUUAUAUUUUACAAUUGGUUGUGUAUAAGAAUGAAUCAACGGGUUUGCAAAUUUUGUUUUUGAAAAUUCAUAUUUUGUUUAUCCUGAGGAUUUUUUUUAAAUUCCCUGUUAAAGUGCAAAGUUUCUUCCAUCGUCUACAAUAAACAAUGUCAUGUAUCUUCACUUUUCCUCAUUCUUCAACUCGGAAUUCUUCUCAAGAAUGAAGUUCAGUGAUCCAAACUUCGAAUGGGGUUCUUAAAGCUUCUCUCGUAGGAUCUAAACUUCUGAUCCUUCUUCUACUUUUUUGCAGCAUUUAUAGGAGUCAUUUAGCCGUAAAAGAUCAGUCUUUUUUAAAUAUAAUAUUAGUAAAAUAUUUAUAGAUUUUUUUAAUUAUUAAUUUCUAUCAGAAAAUUUGAUUAAUCACUUAUCCUUGAGAGAAUUUUUUCUCAUAAUUAUUUUUUUCUUCAAAAGAUUCAAAUCUAUGGCCUAACUAAAAAGGACUCAGCCCUAUUCUCCUUGUUUUAUGAUUCCUAAAAAAUUCUGCAAAAAUUAUGAAACACAAAAAAGUAUUUUCAUCAUGCACUGCUAUUGCUAAUUAAAUAUAUGCAGCUAUGAUAACUAGAAUGCUACGCAAGCUGUCAAUUAAAAUUCAGAAUUUCACUCAGUCCAUGCAUUCCAUAAAAUUCAUUUUCAAUAUUUCAAACAAAAAAAUGCAGUAGUUGAUUUAUUUAUAAGAUACAAUUACUUAAUUAUCAAGAUUACGAAAAACUGUUAAUUUAAUUAAUAACAAUAAAUCUAUCUUAAAUUUAUAAUUUUUUUAAAACUAUUUUUGUCAUUAUUUCUUUCUCUACUAAUUGUUUGUUUAUAUCUUAUCUUUCUUCUUUCAAAGAAAGAUAUUAUUGAUUUAAAAAUAAUUAUUGCAAGAAAUAUUGUAAAUUGAAUCUUAUAAAAAAUAUCAUCAUCAUCUCAAUUUUAAAUUUUAUAAAUAAGAAUAGAAAAAUUACAUUGUAUUCAAUGGUAUAAGCAGCAGAGAGUGUGUUGUGCACCUAUAUUAAUGACUGAUCUUAAUUCAAAAUAGUCUAAGAGGAUCAAAUAAUACAUUAACAGAAUCAAUUCGUAACCAACUCAAGUUUAGUGAAUUGCAUUUGCAUAACAAUCUAUCAUACAUACCAAAGUUAUUACAUAUGCAUAUCAAUCAAGCAUUAGUUUGCAAAUUAUCAAAUCUAUCUCAGCAUAUGAAGAUAUCAGCCAAUUGAUUCAUAUGCAUCCAAGGUUCAGAAUCAACACAACUCAAUCUCCACUUAUUCAUAGACUGAAGAUUCUACAAAUCAACACAUGCAACUCAAUCAUCAAAUUAUGCCUGCGUCUCCUGCCAUCCAUCUAAUGUUCAGAUAUUCGAGCACGAAACUAGCUAGGUCAGUUCAUAUACAGCAUUAUAUAUUCAAGGCCUCAUUUUAAUUCAACCAUAUUUUCAUUAAGAGACCAUAGUAGUUUCAACACUAAUUAAUUGUAUUAGAGUUCAAAAGAAGAAAAUGUUGAAGUUUGGAGUCUUUGAAAAGUUUGUUUUGAUAAGUCCAUUCAUGUAAUAAGUGUGCCACCGGUAAGGUUUGAAAAAAACCUUUUCUAUUUCUAUUUUUUUAUUUUUGUUUUAAAAAAUUAAUAUAGAAAAUAGUUUUUUUUAAAGAAAAUGUAGAAAAUAAGAUUGAAUCCACAAGUAAUAAAUUGAAUCCACGGGACCAUAUUUUAUAAUUAUCAAUUUAUCGUAUUUUAAAAACAUAAAAUAAGAUAUUUUAUUUGAUUGGAAAAAGAAAAUAUUUAGAUUAAAAUAAAAAGGAAAAGUAAAUUAAAUUAAAUUAAAGAAAGAAUUACAAGAAUUAGAUAAAAUAAAACAAAAAUGGGAGUUUCACACUGUAGAAACAAAUAACACAAGAAGGGGGAUUGAAUUGUGUUAUUUAGAAAUUUAAAAAUUUUCUUAACACUGAAAAACAUAUUUAUCGUUUGAUGAAUAUAAAUAAUAUUAGACGAUGAAAAAAUAGUUUUAUUUAAAAAGAAGAUGUAAAAUCUAAAAAUAAAUUCAAAACUUUUGUUUGUUAAACUAGAAAACACACAAAUAAUUUAUAUUAAUUCGUGUCAACCUCUCAAAACUACAUCUAAAUUCUUGGCAUCCAUCAAAUUUACACUAACUUAUCAAAAUUACAAGUAUUUUUUACUGUCACUUUUGACUCUUACACUUGCAAACUCUAUCUCAAGCUUGGCUUAAACAUAAUAUUCUUUGUCCUACCAAGCCGAUAUUGGCUCUAAACAAAUCUACUAGAUUUGUUUGAAGAUUAUACACAGACUAAAAAGUAUGAUAGUCUUACAUACAUAUAUAUCACUUUACACUUUUAGUCUUUUCUUUCAAGAUAUACAAGAUGUUUUGAGAGUGUUUUUUUUUUUUUUUUAUCUUUACAGGAAUUUAUAGUAAGCUUUACAAGAAGGAAUGAAAAGAAUAAUUCGCAUAGAUGAUUCAUGUCUUGUUUCUUCAAAGCUUCUUUUAUAUAUAGUAUUCAUCUCCAAGUCUAUGUUGUAGAAGCAAGCUUCAUGAUGAUGAAUCAAGUAUGAUUCAAGUAGUUUUGAUGAUGACAAAAAGCCCAAAAGAAUGAUGUCAAGAUUGAGUCAACAAGUUCAAGAUCAAGAUUAAAGAAAAGACAUCAAGAAGAAUCAAGAUUCAAGAAAAGAUGAAUUCAAGAUUUAAGAGAAGAAACCAAAAAGCAACAAGUCAAGACUUCACAAGGGAAGUAUUGAAAAAGAUUUUUCAAAAACCAAACAUAGCACAAUUUUGUUUUACAAGAAAAGUUUUUCCAAAUUUUUCUAAGUUACCAGAGUAUUUACUCUCUGGUAAUCGAUUACCAAUUACCUGUAAUUGAUUACCAGUGGUAAAGUUUGAUUUCAAAAGCUUUUAACUGAAUUUGUAACAUUCCAAAUGUUUUUUAAAUGGUGUAAUCGAUUACAAUGUAUUGGUAAUCGAUUACCAGUAUAUCUAAACAUUGAAAUUCAAAUUCAAUUGUGAAGAGUCACAUCUUUUCAUAAAAUGCUUUGUGCAAUCGAUUACAUGGUUAUGGUAAUCGAUUACCAGUGACAAGUUCUGAAUAAAAAGUCAAGAGAUGUAACUCUUCCAAUGGUUUUCUCAAGAUUUUCUCAAGGUUAUAACUCUUCUAAUGGUUUUCUUGACCAGAUAUGAAGAGUCUAUAAAAGCAAGACCUUGACUUGCCUUUCAAUAACUCUUACAACUUUUAAGAAUUUCUUGAACAAAUUUUGAGAAAUCUUGAAACCUUUGCUUCUCAUCUUUCUUCUUCUUCCUUUGCCAAAAAGCUUUCUAAGUUUUUUGUUUUCCAAACCUUGUUCUUCUACAGAAAACAAAAGUGUGCUAUAUCUUUUCAUUCUCUUCUCCCUUUGCCAAAAAGAAUUCAACAAGGACUAAUCGCCUGAAUUCUUUUUGUGUCUCUCUUAUCCCUUUUCCAAAAGAACGAAGGACUAACCGCUUGAAUUCUUUUGUGUCUCCCUUCUCCCUUUUCAAAGAAUUCAAAAGGACACAGUCUGAGAAUUCUUUUGAUUCUUCCCUUUCCCUUAAACAAAAGACUUCAAAGGACUAACUGCCUGAGAUAUCUUUUGUUUCCCCUUUACAAAGAUUCAAAGGACUAACCGUCUGAGAACUUUAUCUUAACACAUUGGAGGAUACAUCCUUUGUGUUACAAGUAGAGGGUACAUCUACUUGGGUUGUUGUAACUGAGAACAAGAGAGGGUACAUCUCUUGUGGAUUAGUUCAAGUGGAGGGUACAUCCACUUUGUUGUUCAAAGAGAACAUGGGAGGGUACAUCCCUUGUGGAUCUUUGCUUGUAAAGGUUUUUACAAGGUUGAAAAUAAAUCUUAAGGACCGCAGGUUGCUUGAGGAUUGGAUGUAGGCACGGCUUGUUGCCAAACCAAUAUAAAUUUUUGUGUUUGUCUUCUUCUUCCCUACACUCUUUAAUUUCCGCUGUGCACUUUAAUUAUCGCUUUUACUUUUGGUUAAGUUUCUAUUUUUGUUCUUUACUUUCUUAACAUUAUAGUAAAAGCCUAAUUGAAUCUAGUAACAUUAAGAAGGAUAGAUUUUUAAUUAGUAAAGGUUCAUUAAUAAUUAAUUCAACCCCCCCUUCUAAAUUAUUCCGAGGCCACUUGAUCCAACAUAUGUUAUCUCUCAAUGGUUGGAUUCUUUACUCUGUUCUUCGUCUGAAGUCUUGCAUUAAAUGUACGUCCAUUCUUCUAGCAAAGUCCAUGCUUAUAGGAUAGUGCAACUUGUAUUUCAGUAGGAAAGUCACUUCUUUCAUCAUAGCAGGUCUGCAACAACAGAGUGCGCCUUUUGAUGAUGAUCAAUGUUUUCUAAACGAUGAACUUCAUUUAUUCUUCAUAAGACUUUGACAAGUUUUAGAAGAAUGUUUUUUUUGCAUCAAAGAAUCUUAGACAUAAAAUAUUAAAUGAAGGUCUUAAAUGCAUUACUUAAAUGCUAUAUCAGAUUGUCUUAUGAGUGCAUCGUCUGAAAACUUCAGAUGCACAAAGACAAAUCAUGAUUUGAUAACAUAUCAGAUACAAAUUUUAUUAUUUGUAUUUAUUUACAUCUAAUCAAAAUAAUUAUAAUUCUUUAUUCAUCUUUCAAACAUAAAUAUAUUUUGACUUAACAAACACCAAGACUCAUGCUCAAUUAAUCUAUCAAUUCGAGAUCAUUGUGUCGUUACUUCUUCCUAAGGUUUCCCUUAGUGGGAAACUUACCAAAAAAAACUUUAAAAAUUUCUAUUUAAUCCUAAAAACCUAAAAGGGGUCCAAUCCCAUUACAAUUAAAACACAAUAAUAAACAAAUGUUGUAGCAUGCAUCACUUGCACAACCAAAAUCUCAUUUAGAACGUAAGAUUCUCAACUUGGUGUAUUCACAAAAGUUAUGGAUAAUUUUGUCCUUGAAAUUUACACACUAGUAUCAUGUAAUUUUGAUGUCUAUAACUCAUUAUAUCCUCUAAACGCUACACAUACAUCAUGUUCUCUAGAUUAAAGUCACUCCAAACAUAGAACCUCAACUAUCCAUGACAAUCUCUUUAACUAAUCCACCUUUCUUAUCCAUGGCCUCCUAUGGUGGUGAGCUUCUUCUAGACUCAUCUUCUCCUUGAAGUGACAUCUCCUCUCUCUCUUCCUUCUCCAUUCUGCUGCCAUUCAUCUUCCAAGAAGAAAAGGAAUCGAUUGGUGAAGAAGAUCCUAGGCCUACAAGCUCCAAUGGAGCUUACAUCAUGUGGUAUCAUGAGCAUCUUCAUCUAGGUGAUGUUCUUUUGCUUCCUCUAUCUUUUUGUUCGGUGAAUUCUCUUUAAUUCCUUGUUCUUCAUCUUAUUCUCCAUGUAUAUCCUCCAUUUUCUUGUGGUUUGGUGCUGUUUAGAGUAGAUUCAAAAAAAUAAACCGAUUAAAUCCUAGAUCUACAAUUGUUCUUGCAUUUCUAUGGUUCAAAUUUUGUAGAUCUACUCUUGAAUCAUGUUUUUGUGUUGAUUUUAGGUUCUAUAAUUUUUCAUUCAUAAUAUUCUUGUGCUGAACCUUAGAUCUAAAUUUUCUUCCAAAAUAUUGAUUAGAAAAAAAACACAAAAAUCUAAGUGUAAAUCACUUAAUCCAUGUUGUCUUAGAGUCAUGUUUAGUCAUAGUAAUUGUCACAUUAUGCUAUAAGUUUGUGUUGAAUUUUUAUUUUGUUUAUUGAAUUCUAGAUACAUUUGUUCAUGUAUUCUUGUCAUUCUUAGCCUAUCUUUUGAAUUUUUAGUCUAAUUCAUGCAUGUUAUUUAGUUCAUAACAUGUUCUAAAUCAAUUCCUAGAAGUAGUCUUGUUGUUUAACUCUUUUUUUUUGUUUUCUAAGUUUCCUACAUGAUGCCUAUGAUGAAGUUGAGUUAUGGUGCUGAGUUGUGGCUGGAUUUGUGAAUCAAAAUAAGUCUUAAGCUCUCUUGAAUUGUUUUAUUCAAGAUAAUUGAUCAUAAGCAAACACAAAUUGUAACUAUCCAAGCCUUAAGCAACAUAAACACUACUCUUGAUUUCUAGGUUGAAAUCGUUGGUGCUGGCAACUUGAACAUACGAACUUGUAUAAAUUACUGGGAAUUGGUCACUACGUUUUUUGAGCUGAAAUUUUUCCUGAAUUUUCUAGACAUCUAGACAAAAAUUAUGAAAAAAGAACAAAGCGAUUUGGAAUAACAAAAAAAAAAAAGAAAAAUCACACAAGUUGGCUGAAAAAUCAGUGUCUAAGAAAAAAAAAGUGAAAGAGAAGUGUGCUUGUUGUUUUGGCUCAAAAUUUGUUCUAUAAUUGGUGCCUAUUUUAUACCAAUCCUAGUUUUGAAAUUGAAAUUUAAAUUUAUUGUGAAAACAAGUGCCAAAACUAGAGGUUUCUUGAGUCUUUUUUUUUAGUUUUUCUACUAUACUCUAGAGCCAUUCUAGGUUUCUCUUUGAGUCCUAGCUUGCUUUUUGUGCUUUUCAUUGCUUUAAUUGUUGAAUAAUCCUUGAAAAUUUGUCUUGUUAUAGAUUUCAUUUCAUUUUUUUUGGUAUUUGGUUAUUGCUUGUCUCUUUGUUUCCUUGCUUGUGAGUUGCCAUAUAGGGAAUUGGAAAAGAGGAUUGGUGCCAUACCUUGAAGAAUUUGAGUCAAGAAGCAAAGGGCCAACCACCUUAAGAGCUAUUGGACUAAGAAGAACGCCAAAUUGAGUGAAACACCAAAGAGAGAAUAGCCACCACAAUUGAAGACUUUUUUUUUGUAAUUUUGUAAUUGGCAAUUUGCUUUGCUUUCAAAUUUUGUAACAAAAAGGCCUUUCAUUGGAAGUAAGUUGGGAGCCUCCAAUAGGUCACCCUACUUCCAUUUAUGUGUAAUAAUUUUAGGCAAUUUUCCCUUAAGAUAGUGAGUGUUUUGUUGGGAACCUUAAAUGAGGUCAUCCAAACACUCUUAGGUUCCGCCUAGUUUGCAUUUCUUGCACUUUAAUUUUUUGCUUACUUUCAUAGCAUAUUUCCUUUACCCUCCAUUGUCAAACUGCCUAGAUAGCUUGCCUUUUACCAAUUAGUUUUUACCUUAUCUUUCACACCUCUUUUAGUGUUUAUUUUGGCUAAUUUCAACCAUAGUUUCUUUUACCUUUUGUUUUCAAACCCCCAACAAGAAAGAACCAUAACUUAGGAACCAACACGAGUCUUCAUUCUUCAUCUAGUGUUAAUGGUGAGGGUUCUACUCCUAAGGACCCCUUGUAUAAGAUAUUAGAUGAGUUGAGAUCCCUUAAGUUGUGGAAAGAAAAACAAGAGAGAAAAGAAAAAGGAAAAAAAAAGAGUGGAAGAAAUAAGUCAAGAUAAAAGAGAGAAAGUAAGAGAGGAAGAAAGAAGAAAAAUAAUGAAAGAAAUGAAAAGAGAAAAACAUGUCUCCUAUAGUAGUCAUAACUCUUGCAAGAGUUUAAGUGAAGAACUUAGCGACUAUUAUAAAGGGCGCAAUAUUUCACAUACUAAACAUCAUUCCCAAAGAAGAGAAAAGGAUAGAAGGCUUCAAGAGGUUAACAUUAGCCUCCCAUAUUUCCAUGGAAAAGAUAAUGUUGAGGCCUACUUAGAUUGGGAAAUGAAGGUUGAACAACUCUUUACUUGCCAUCAUAUUAGCAAAGGGAGAAAAGUUCCAUUGGCUACCCUUAGCUUUCAAGGGUGCGCCCUCUAUUGCCGGACUUCCCUUGUUAGGGAACAAAGGAUUCAUGGGGAUCCUCUAGUAGAGUAUUAGAAUGAUCUUAAGAGUGCCCUUAGGAAGAGGCACAUUCCCUCCUACUAUGAAAGGGAGCUUAUAGACAAGCUCCAAAGACUUAGACAAGGGAGUAUGAGUGUUGAAGAAUAUAGACAACAAAUGGAACUACUCCUUUUAAGAGCUGGACUUAGGGAGGAGGAAAGAACAAGCAUAGCUAGGUUCCUUAGUGGGCUUAAUAUGAAAGUGAGGGACAAACUCCUUCCAUAUAGGGACCUAGAUGAGCUAGUCCAACUUUGUAUAAGAGUGGAGCAGCAACAUAAAAGAAAGCUUUGUUCAAAAUCUUAUGGCUCUCAUCCUUAUCCAAGGAAGGACCAAGCCCAUGGAAUUUUGGGGGCUGCACCUUCAAAACCCAAGGAAGAUAAGGGUAAGACCAUAGAGAAAUACACCCCUAAGACUAGUUCCCAAGAAAGGACUAGCAACAUUAAAUUUUUCAAAUGUCUUGGGAGAGGUCGCAUUGCAUCUCAAUGCCCCACAAAGAAAUCCAUGAUCAUGAGGGGUCAAGACAUUUAUAGUAGUCAAGAGGAGACUACUUCUUGCCCUUCCUGUAGUGGAAGUGAAGAUGAAUUAAGGGGUGAAAAGUCUAGCGAGGAAGUCUACCCCCAUGAAGAAGGUGAACUCCUAAUGGUUAAAAGGCUCCUUGGAGGCCAACCUUGUGAUCUAUCCCAAUACCAAAGAGAGAAAAUCUUUCAUACAAGAUGCAAAAUUUUAGAUAAAACUUGUUCUCUCAUUGUGGAUAGUGGAUCUUGUUGCAAAUGUUGUAGCACAAGAUUAGUUUCCAAGUUGAACCUCACUAUCAUUCCCCACCGAAAAUCUUAUAAACUUCAAUGGCUCAAUGAGCAAGGGGAAAUGAUAGUUAACCAACAAGUGAAGGUACCUUUCUCCAUUGGGACAUAUAAGGAUGAAGUUAAUUGUGAUAUAGUUCCCAUGGAGGCAGGACAUAUUCUUUUAGGAAGGCCAUGACAAUUUGAUAGGAAGAUCAUUUACAAUGGCCUAACUAAUGAAAUUACCCUCACCCAUAUUGGCACUAAAUUUGUGUUGCAUCCUCAAACACCUUCACAGGUGGCCAAAGAUCAACUAACUAUGAAAGAUAAGAGGACUGAGGAAGAAAAACUAGAAAAACAAAAGAAAAAGAAGGAUAGUAAGGCCUUGUCUUCAAAGGCAAAGGGGAAGGAAAAGGAGGAAAAGGAUUCCUCCAAGAAGAUUGUUAAGAAGGAAGAUCACUUUGCAACAAAAGGUGAUAUUAAAAGGGCACUCCUUCUUAAACAAUCUUUCUACCUUCUCCUAUCAAGGGAAACAUCCCUUAGCACCGAUAUACCUCUUGAGCUUGAGGUUAUUCCUCAAGUAAAAGAGUUGUUGGAUGAGGGUUUGGUUCGCAAGAGCUUAAAUCCUUGUGCUUUGUUGGUGCCAAAAAUAGGUAUUAUUAGGCACCAAAUCCCUAUGAUAGUUGGUAUGAUGAAUGUGUUGAGUGGUGCAACACUCUUUUGUAAAAUCACUCAUGCACCCAACAUCUUCAUGAUUUGUGUACAUAGGGACUCAUUAGGUAGGUUUGUUCUUAUUUUUUGUUUCAAUGCAAACCUAGGUGCUUAUGUGGGACACCUUAGGUUUGUCGUAAUAUUUUGUAGGAAUAAUCAACAUGAAAAUAAAGAAAAAGGUAUGUUUUAUUCCAUUACUUUCCUUAACUUUUUAAAUAGUGAUCAAGGGCUUCCCAUGGACCCUAAGAGAAUAAAGGUAAUUCCUGAGUGGCCUACUCCACCAAGUAUAAGGGAAAUUUGGGGCUUCAAUAUCUUAACAAACUUUUACAAAAAGUUUGUCCCAUAUUUUUCUAUACUUGUAGCACCACUCAUUGAGUUGGUGAAGAACUAUAUUCUCUCAUGGGAAGAUGACCAGGAAAGGGGUUUUCAAUCCUUACCGUACUUUAACAUACCCAACAUCACUAAUACAUAUGUUUUUAUUCUUUUUACAGGUGUUGAGGAAAGAAUCCAUGAGUUUCAAGAACCUUUGGAUUUGAGGUCAAAUCCUUUUCAAGGGGGAGGGAAUGAUGCAAUCCUACCUGAUCGAGGUCGUACCCGAAUCAAAUAAACAUUAAAAAUGCAAUAUCUAGGAAGUGAUCCUAGGUCGUCUCCCAACGAGCAAUGGUCAACCAAACAUUCAUAAUAGAUAGUAGGAAAAUAGUAACGAAUUGGGGGGGGGGGUUGUUUGUUUUUGUAAAUUAAACAGCGAGUAAAAUUGAAUUAGAAAAUAUCAGAAUUAAAUUAAAUUACUAAGCAAAAUUUAACAUAAGGCAUUCAUUAUGUGAUUAAGCAACACAUACACCAAAUAAUAAUGAGCAAUCAUUAAGCAUAAAGGUAAAUUAAGCGCAGAGACAAUUAAUCAAACACUAAGCAUGCAUGAAUUAAUAGCAACAAAUACAUAGUAAUUGGUGAAGAGGAAAAACUGAUCAGAAUUUAAUAGUAAUAAUAGAACCUCAAAGAGAAUUGUGUUUGAUCCUCAAGAGAAAACAACGCUGGAGACUUAGCCUUCCAUUAAUCAAUAGAGAACGAAAUUUUAUUGCUAAAACGAAAAGUAAAAACUGGAAUUGCAAAACAAAAAAGUGUCUAAAAGAAGAAGAGAAGCCUAAAACUAAAAACGAAAGAGGAGAGCUCAAACUAGAGCCUUGGUGCUGUUAUAUAUUUUCAGCCCUAAAGCUUACAAAUCUGUUUUAAGUCCAAGCCCAUAAAUAAAAUAAAAUCUAGACAAGAUAAGAUAAGAUUUGAUAAAAUAAAAUCUAAAUAAGAUAAGAUAAGAUCUAGAUGAAAUAAUGUCUAUAUAAGAUAAGAUUUGAUCUAGAUAAGAUAAGAUUUGAUAAAAUUGUCUGCUCUCUUCAAGUCCAAGCCCAAUUUUGGAUUCAAGCCCAAUUGCUUAUAAUUCUCCUGAAAUUAAAUUAAAAACACAAAAUUAGUCCAAUAGGCCCAAAUGAUAAAACUGCAUAAUUAAUUUGACAAUUAAGACUAAUCAAUAAUUAAAAUGGUGCAAAAAGGGUUCGUGAGGAAUGGCUUAAGUCGAUGUCCGUUGACCUUGAAGCUCUUGUUUGUGGAGUCGCUUUUGAUCUCAACUGUACCAUAAGGAAAAACAUUAGUAACAACAAAAGGACCAAUCCACUUAGACCUCAACUUACCACUCAUGAGUCCAAGCCUAGAAUUAUACAAUAACACUUUUUGCCCAACCCUGAAGUCCUUCUUAAUUAUCAUGCUAUCAUGGAACUUCUUGGUCUUUUCUUUGUAGAACUUGGCAUUCUCGUAGGCUUCUAGGAGGAUCUCAUCUAACUCACUCAGUUGCAACUUUCUUUCCUCACCAGCUUCAUCCAUAGAGAAGUUGCAGGUCUUCAUUGCCCAGUAUGCUUUGUGCUCAAUCUCCACUGGAAGAUGACAUGCCUUUCCAAAGACAACCCGAUAAGGAGACAUUCCUAUGGUUGCUUUGUAGGCAAUUCUAUGUUCCCAAAGAGCAUCAUCAAGCCUGGUACUCCAAUCUUUCCUGCUUGGCUGCAUAAUCUUCUCUAAAAUUCUCUUGAUCUCCCUAUUAGAAAUUUCUGCCUGUCCAUUGGUUUGGGGGUGGUAUGGUGUGGAUACCCUGUGUACAACCCCGUACUUUUUAAGCAAGGCAUGCAUUGAUUUGUUGCAAAAAUGGGUUCCUUGAUCACUAACGAUUGUUUUAGGUACUCCAAACCUGCAAAACAGAUUAGAUUUGACAAAAUCUGCUAUAACCUUAGCAUCAUUAGUUCUAGUGGGCUUGGCUUCCACCAAUUUUGAAACAUAAUCAACUGCAAGGAGAAUGUAAACAAAACCAAAAGAGACAGGAAAAAGGCCCAUGAAAUCUAUACCCCAGACAUCAAACACCUCACAAAAUAGCAUAGGUUGCUGAGGCAUUUGUUGUCACCAUGCAAGUGCACUUCCUGCUCUCUGACACAGCUCACAAGUGCUACAAAUCUUCCAUGCAUCUUUAGAGAUGGUGGGCCAAUAAAAGCCACAGUCAAGCACUUUGCGAGCUGUCCUUUGAACACCCAGAUGACCUCCUGAUGCGGAAUAAUGACAGAACUGCAGGACUGAGUCAGUCUCAUGAUCUGGAAUGCAUCAUCUAAUGACCUGAUCACUGCAUAAUUUUCACAAGUAGGGGUCAUCCCAAAUAAAAUGCUUAGCAUCACUUUUAAUUUUAUCUUUUUGAGCCUUAGAUGCUAAGGGAGGAAAAAUAGAAGCAACUAAAUAAUUUACAAUGUUAGCAAACCAGGGAGUAGAAAUAGAAUUAGAAAUACUAUACAAUAUAUAUAAAUGAUCAUCCGGGAAAUCAUCCUGAAUGGGUGAGUCCUCAUCAGACAUAUGUUCGAUCCGACUCAAAUGAUCAGCAACUAAAUUUUGUGCUCCGCUCCUAUCACGGAUCUCCAAGUCAAACUCUUGGAGCCAGAGCAUCCAUCGGAUCAACCUAGGCUUUGAAUCGGCCUUCUUCAACAAGUACUUUAAAGCUGCAUGGUCAGUAUAAACAAUAAUGCGAGUACCAGGCAAAUAAGAACGAAAUUUUUCAAGAGCAAAAACUAUGGCUAGUAGCUCUUUCUCAGUAGUAGUAUAAUUCGCUUGGGCAGCAUCUAAAGUCCUUGAAGCAUAAUAUAUCACCCUAGGCAAUUUAUCAAUUUUCUGAGCAAGGACAACCCCCAAUGCAUAAUUUGAUGCAUCACACAUAAGCUCAAAAGGGGUUGUCCAGUCGGGUGCCUGGAUGAUGGGGGUGGUAGUCAGUGCUCUUUUGAGGCAAUCAAAAGCCUCUUUGCAUUUAUCAUUAAAGUCACACUCCACCUCCUUUUGCAACAAGUUGGAUAGUGGAAGGGCCACUUUGCUAAAAUCUCUUAUAAAGCGCCUGUAGAAUCCUGCAUGACUAAGAAUAUCAGGAGUAUUAUCAAACCAAUCACACUUGAAUAGAACUAACUUCAUCAAUGGGAUGCCAAUAUACUCCAAUUGAAUAAUAUCAGAUAACAUUCCAUAAAAAUCAUAUUCUUGUUGGCCAUCAGUUCCCCGUACGUGAACGCCAUAAUUAGAAGAAUUCAUGCCUUCAUUCUAGCUAACUAUUUGUAAUUUGUAUCCAUUUAUAAUGUAGAUAGGCAAUGAUUCAACUUUUCUCUUAGGUCGCCAUGCCAAAUUAACCAAUAUUGAAUCUUGAAUAUUAUUUUCUGGAUUUAGAACCUAAAAAAUUUAAUAAUUAACACCAUAUAUAACACUGUGUCAUUAUGGAAGAAAUAUUAUUUCAAUAAUAUAUAAGGUGUUAACCUACAUAUUGCUUGAACCAUGUAGGAAAGUUGGAUGAAAUGUCUUGGUUAAGUUGAGCAUACGAAGUAGUGGGAUUCAAAUCCCUUAAAAAAUUCUCAUAAAUACUGGAAAUGAGAAAACAAAUUACUCAACGUAAAAAACAUAACAUCAUUAAAAUAUUAAUUAGAGCUAUAAAAGUAUUAAAAUCAUCUUACUUUAAAUAUGGCUCAACCUCUGGACAAUUUUGAAGAACAUACAAGUGAGCAACAUGAAGAUCAACUUGGUCCAAAAAAUAUGUUUUGGAUUUACCACUCGCUCUUCCUGUGUAAUUGAAAACUGAUAUAGGAGGAGAAGAUGAAGAACCUUCAUCCGCAUCAACAUUUCGAGGCAUCCUAGUCCUUCUUGUUGCAAUUUGAUCAGGAUAGUAAAAUGAGGCAAAGGUAGAUGUCUCCUCCACUAAGUACGCUUCACAAAUCGAUCCCUCAACUCUAGCUUUAUUCUUGACUUUAUUUUUGAGGGAGUGUAAAAACCUAAAAUUAAUAUGAAUAAGUAUUUUUUAAAAAUGACUAUAUGUAUAUAAUACAAUGGUGUAUAAAUGAUUACUCAUUUUAUACCUCUCGAAAGGAUACAUCCAACGAUAUUGAACUGGACCACCAAGUCUUGCCUCAUAAGGUAAAUGAACUGGAAAAUGCUCCAUUGAAUCAAAGAAGCUUGGUGGGAAUAUUUGUUCUAACUUACACAACAACACGGGUAUGUUAUUUUCCAUAAUUCAUAGUUGUUCAACAUUUAAAGUUGUCGAAGUUAGUUAUCUGAAAAAUUGGCUAAGUUCAACAAGUGGCUUCCAAAUAGGUUUUGGUAAUGAGUCAAAUGCAAUUGGAAGCAAUCGUUGCAUGAAAACAUGACAAUCAUGACUUUUCAUUCCAUGAAUUUUUCCCUUGUUAAGAUCCACACACUGACCUAAAUUGGAGGCAUAGUCAUCAAGUAACUUUAGUUCUUUGACUCAUUUAAGAACAGUGAGUCUCUUGGAUUUGGUCAUUGCAUAAGCUGCCUUUGGUUUAAAGAACUUGCCACGACCAACAUCUACUAGCUCAAGCUCCUUCCGAUUACAUAUUUAUGCUAAAUCUAUUCGAGCAUUGUGUGUAUCCUUACUUUUGCCAUUGAUGUCCAUCACAAUGUUAAAGGCAUUCAUAAACACAUUUCUCUUUGUGUGCAUGACAUCAAUGUUAUGACGCAAAAGCUGGGUUUUCCAAUAUGGUAACAACCAAAAUAUACUUUGUUUCUUCCAAUUAUGUUCAACACCAUAACUAGGAAAAUCUUUUUCUUCUUGCGACUCAAGGCAGAGUAGUAAAUGUGCAACUUUAUUCCAAACGUCAAGACUAGACAAACGUGGAGGAGGGGGUGACGUCUCAACGCGACCCUUCUUGAAUGACUUUUUAUUCCUCCUAUAUGCAUGAUUAAGCGAAAGAAAUUGGCGAUGACAAUCAAAAUAACAGACCUUGUGAAAAUUUAAAGUUGUGAAUGCCUUUGAUCUUUCCAUACAUAUGGGACAACCAAGUCUGCCAGCAGUUGUCAACCCUUACAACAUCCCAUAAGCCGGAAAGUCAUUGAUUGUCCAUAUCAAAGCAGCCUUCAUAAAAAAAAUUCUGCUUGAAUGACACAUCAAAAGUUGGUAUGCCAUCAUUCCAUAAGGUGCAUAAGUCAUCUAUGAGUGGUUGCAAGUACACAUCAAUCUUGUGCCUUGGAUCUGAUGGACUUGGAAUUAAGACAGUUAAAAACAUAAAUUCUCUCUUCAUGCACAUGCCAGGAGGAAGAUUAUAUGGAGUUAAGAUAAUCGGCCAACAAGAGUAAGUUUUCCGAAAAUGACCAAAAGGACUAAAUCCAUCUUAACAUAAUCCUAAUCUGACAUUCCUAGGGUCUUGACUAAAUUCUGAAUGCAUUCUAUCAAAAUGCUUCCACGCUUCAUCAUCAGAUGGAUGACACAUGACAUUCGGGUCACUCUGAUUUUCACUAUGCCAUUUCAUGUGAGAUGCAGUGGUCAUUGAAGAGUACAAUCUUUUUAGUCUUGAAAUGAGUGGAAAGUACCACAUUUUUUUAACAGGAAACUUCUUUUCAAUCCCUCUCCUAUUAACUGUCAAGUACCGAUCACUUUUACAAAAAAAGCAAUUAGUUAUACUCUUAUCUGAAUUUUCUUUGUAAUACAACAUGCAUCCGUUCGGGCAACAAUCAAUUUUCAAACAACCGAGACUCAAUUUCUGCACUGCCAUCUUAGCUUGAUAAAAAUUACUAACCAUAGUAUUGUUUUUUGGCAUGGUGUCGCCCAUAAGUUGAACCAUAUGAUUAAAACACCCUUCUGACAUAUUAUAAUCAGAUUUCAAGCUAAGACAGGCCAAAGAAGCUGACAUUUUUAAAUGAUGCUCGCAUCCUUCCUACAAUGGUGCUUGAGCAGUUGCAAGCGUAUCAAAGAACUUUUGAGCUUCAGGAUUAGGAUUUUCCUUUAUGCAUUCUGUCUCAAUUACACCCUGUUGUUCUAUGUAUUGGCCAAUUGAUGGUCCAACAUGAUCCAUGAUCAUUUGCUCGUAAGGAUUCAAUUCUUUCCUUUGCCUACCACUUUUGUAGUAUGAACCUUGUAACACUAUUGGAGGAAAUUGUGGUAACUCUUCACCGUGGUUUGCCCACCAAUAAUAAUUUGGCAUGAACCCUUCCUCAUAAAGAUCCCUCAUCACAUCAUCCAAAAACUUGAAAACUUUACAUUUGCAUUUCUUGCAGGGACACCUUGUUUGUUCUCCUUGCAUUUGAAACAUGUCCUGACUAGUAACAAACUGUACAAAUUCAAACACUCCUUCUCUAAACUGAUUUGUCCAAUGUUUAUUACCAUCCAACCUUUGAUACAUCCACCUUCGAUUCUCAUGAAUCUCCAUUGAUACAAACUACCAAUAACAAAUAUCCAUUAAGAAAUGUCAAGAAGUAAGAAAAUAUAAUCAUGAAAUGAAAUGAUUUGGUAGUAUUCAAUGGAGUGUGUUCAUGCAAACACACAAGAGACAUUUAUUGAAAACAAAAACCAAUACUUAUAGUGUAUCUGAACAAAAAGUUAAAAAUAGACAUAGGCCUUCUAAACAGUUUGGGCCAAAAUUACAAUAAAUAAAAAUUAUUAAUAAAAAUAGAACAUAUUUAUUAUGGGCCUUCAAAUUAAUCUGGGCCUUCAGCAACAAUUAAUAGUCUUGAUAAUGUCUCUGCCUCUGGGCCUUCAUCCUUCUCCACUUGGGCCUUCAUCCUUCUCCGCUCGGGGGCUUUGUCCUUCUCCACUUGGGCCUUUAGCCUGUAUUUGGCCAGUUUCAGGAUUCUCAUCAUUCCUUCCUUCUUGGAAAACAUUUUCCCUCAAAUGUCCAGGAUCAUCACCGGGUUCAAGUACCACUUCCUUCCUUUUCUUGUUGGCUUGCUUGGUAUAACUUUCAUUCUUCUUUGCAAUUUGCACCUUCACUUGGUCAUACAAUCUUUUCACAUACUCAACUUUGGCCUGUGCAUCCUUAUGCUGAGUCUCUUGGGGCUUUCUGUUGUAAGUUGGCCUGUUAGGCAAUGAAGCUUCUGGAAGGAGAUCAACUUGAUGCUCUAUCAGAAAUAGAAAUAGUAAACUCAUUUGAAUUAUCAGUAGAAAUUUUAUUGUCUUUACAAUACUGUAGAUAGAGUGGUUCAUGAGCAGGUAACACUUUCCUCACUUCACUCGCCUCUUCAAAAUAAUUAAAUUUUCUCUCAUGUGUAUCACUCUCUCUCUUAUGUGUAUCACUCUUUCCCUCGGGUGUAUCACUCUUCCUUUUCCUAUUCCUAUGUGGUGCCUCACUAUUUUCUUUCUCUUGUUCUCUCUUUUCUCUCAUUCUGAUUUGGUCAUCACACACUUCUCUAGGGGAUAAAGGUUUAAGAAUAAACAAGGAAGAUUUGGCUAUUCUCCUGUAGAGCUCUUCAUUGUUACGAUUCAGCAAAUGUUGCAUUUGUGUAGUCAUCGCGUCUAGUAAUAAGCAUUGAGAUCCAUCCAGUUGAUGAUAUACACCACCAUUGUCACCAACUCUUGCCAUGAUUAAGGAAUAAAGAAUUUUGCAGUAAUUUUAAAAAAGAUUCAGGACCUCACCACACUCUAUUCACGUGUUUCUCUCUUUGAUGGUAGUUCACUCGUAUUUGAUGCUCUCAAUAUAGGCUUUUGUGUGAUGUUUUCACUCUUGCCUUUUACGACUCACUUCCUCUUAAGUUCCUGGAUGAAUCAAAUUAGACACACAAGGUAUAUAACAGGAAAGACAGUUUAAUUAUCAUAGACUAUGUAGCAUAUUUAAUUUGGAUAACAAAUCAGAUUUGAUUUUGGUUAACAUAUUAGACUUGAUUUGGAUUUAGAUUUGAUUUGGAUAACAUAUUAGACUUGAUUUGGAUAGCAGAUUGGAUUUGAUUUGAAAAACAUAUUAGACUUGAUUUGGAUAGCAGAUUGGAUUUGAUUUGGAUAACAGAUUAGAUUUGAUUUGAUUUGGAUAACAAAUCUGAUUUGGACAACAAAUUUUGAUUUGAUUUGAUUUGGAUAACAAAUCAGAUUUGGAUAAUAAAUUAAAUUUAAUUUGGAUAACAAAUAUGAUAACAAAUAAGAUAACAGAUAGGAUAACAUAUAAGAUAACAUAUAUGACAAGUAAACUUCAAAUGCUCAUAACUUUUGCUACGGUUGUUCGUUUGAGGCCCACUAUAUAUCAAAACGAUCAUAAUUCAGAGGAGAAUCUAGAUAAGGGGAUUUGAUCCACGAUUUUCUUUCCAAAAAAAAAACCUCUAAAUGCCUCAAUUUCGUGUUCAAAGAUCAAACACCCACUUUUUUUUUUCAAAAUUUCUGAAACUUUUUUUUGGACACAAAGUGUGAAAGACAUGAGAAACAAGAACAAGAACGUGACAAGAACAAGAACAAGAAUGCAAAUAACAGAACACAAGACGCAAACAAGAACGAAACAAGAUGUAAACAAGAAUGCAAAUAACAGAACACGGACAAAAACACGAACCUAGACAAAUUACAAAGAAAAAAAAUAGGAUAGGAUAGGAUAGAACCUGUAUCAAGAGCCGAAGCUCUGAUACCAGAUGAUGUGAACCUUACGGGGCAGAACGUUUGAUACAGGCUACGAAGAUUUGGAUGACGCCACUUCCAGUGAAGGAAGAAAAGUCAGGGUAGACGCCACAAGGAUUACCUUGAUAAGUCUGAGAUUGGUUCAACAAGGAACCCAGAGAGAAGCUCUCACCAAAUUUUAUGAAAAUGCCAAAAGUUUUUUUAUUGAAAACAAAAACCAAUACUUAUAGUGUAUCUGAACAAAAAGAUAAAAAUAGACAUGGGCCUUCUAAAUAGUUUGGACCAAAAUUACAAUAAAUAAAAUUUAUUAAUAAAAAUAGAACAUAUUUAUUAUGGGCCUUCAAAUUAAUCUGGGCCUUCAGCAACAAUUAAUAGUCUUGAUAAUGUCUUUGCCUCUGAGCCUUCAUCCUUCUCCACUCGGGGGCUUUGUCCUUUUCCACUUGGGCCUUCGUCCUUCUCCACUUGGGCCUUUAGCUUGUAUUUGACCAAUUUCAGGAUUCUCAUCACAUGCUAUUAUAGUGUUUGCAUGUAAGUUGAAAUAGUCAAGUUAAUGUUUAUUUACUAUGAUUGAUUUUAAACUUUAGAUAAAGUAAGAUUGAUGAUGGAACAUGGAUAUUAAGUAUUACAAGUACCUCAAUGUAGGUAUAAUUAGACUUACAUGGACCACUAAAGGUAGUAGGCUUCAACAAGAAUGUUUGUUUUAUAGGUAUGAUGAGGAGAAAUAUGUGAGUUGCUCUGGCAUGUGGGUUUGCAAGCCUUUAGAAAGGCCUGUUGAAUGUACAUUUACAAAAGUUUAAGAUUGUGUGUAAGGCAUAAUUGUGGCAUGGAACUGAGCAAAUGGAAAAAAUUAUUCAAAUUAAUGUUAUCAUUUCUAUGAAACACUAAUUAACACAAUGAAGAAAAACUCCUGCAUGAAAUUAAUAAAAUACAUCAUAUUAAAUCUUAAUUAAUUAAUAGGGAAAAAUAGUGCAAACUUACACAUGCAAUGCUAUUUUCUAAUAUCAUUCAUGUUCCUUAAUCAAUAUGUGUACUGUGAUCUAAGGGCUAGCUUGGAUAAGUCUUUUUUAUUUUAAAAAAAUAAAAUCGUGUCUAUUCUGUGGAAUUAAUGAAUUAUAGUAGUACUUUACUAAUGGAGAAAAAUAAAAUAAUAGUCUUCCUUUUGAAUAAAUGAUAAUCAGGGAGUUUCUUUUUUCUUCUUCCUCCCACUUUUUUAUGUUGACGUAUUUUCUGUAUAGGGGGCUUUUAAAGAGUUCAAAUUAUCUAAUAGGCCGUCCUACUUGCACGUGACUGUGGAGGUUGGGGAUGUGAAUAUUCAAUGAACUUUUGUGUAAAAAGAUAAAAAGAAGUCAACAUGUAAAAUGAAAUAUGUUGUUACAAAAAUAAUUAAAUGAAAUAUAUAAUUACUGAAUUAUAUAUAUAAUUUCAUGUUACAAUUGUGUAUAAAUAAUUAAAAAGAAGUAUAAAUAUCUUCAUAGACCAGACGCUUUUUAAGAAAAUGUUGAUAAACUUUCUAGCAUUUUAAAAUUCUUAAUUUCACAAAUUUUGAUUAUGGCAUAUUUUCACAAUAUAAAUGGUAUAUUAUUUAUUAUAAUUUUUAAAUAAUUUUAUAAAAUAAAAAAUUAUUUUGUAUGAAAAACAAAUAAAAAUACUAAUCAUAACCAUGAUUUAUUUAUCUUAAUCAAAUAAUGUAAAUAUUAUUAUUUUAAUUUUAUUAUAAAUCAUCAAAAUAUAAUUAAAAAUAAUAUAUAAUUAUUAUGAUUUACAAAAUAAUUAAAAUAUUGAUUUGUUAAUUUAAAAAUAUUACUAAUAUAUUAAUUUCAACAAUUUUCAAGUAUUUAAGUAUAUUGCAUAUUUAUUAUGAUUUAUAAUAAUUUAAAAUUUUAACUUCUUAAUUUUUCUAGAAAAAUAAAUAAACUCGGUUGCAAAUUCGGUCGCUAGCCUCAAAAUAAUUUUAUAUAAUAGCGACUGACGAAUACUCGGUCGCUAUCGACAUGACAUAGUGACCGAAACAAAUUCGGUGGCUAACGGCAAGUCCAUGUCGGUCGCUAAUUCCGUCGCUAAAGCGCUUUUGAAUUUAUGUCUGUAUCGCGACCGAAGUAUUCAGUGACGUUUCCCUUCGGUCACAAAUACGAUCGUUGGGCAACUUAGCUACUAAAUAUAAUAUCGGCCGCAAAUGUUGUCACAAUUUGUGACCAAUUACUGUUGGUCGCUAUUUCGGUCACUGACAGUGACCGUAUAUUUUUUGUCGUUAAUUUCUGUCGCUAAACUGUAUUUUUCUAGUAGUGUUGUUAAAAUUAAAGAAAAUAAAUACAUAAUUAGUCCUAAUUAACACAAAAUGAAGGCAAACAUAUAUGAAUUAAUAUGCAAAAUAUGGAAUAAAAUGCCAUGUAUCAUUAUUAUUAAUUAGAUCACGUAGAAAAUCUUUUAACUUAAUUAUUAUUGGAUUGAUAAAUUCCAAAUCCAUCUAAUGUGACCUAAACUCUUGCUUUUCUUAUUUUUUAAUUUUCAUUUUAAACCAUAUAUAUAUAUAUAUAUAUAUAUAUAUAUAUAUAUAUAUAUAUAUAUAUAUAUAUAUAAACCAAGCCUGUAUAUAUAUAAUAGGGUCAGAUUCUUUGGAUUGAGAGCUAAAAGUCGAUGAAAAUCAACAUGAUCUAAUCCCAAUAUUUGUCCUGUUUGAAUCAUUUUCUCUAUGUCUAACUUGUGUCAAUUCCUAACCAAAUUAAAACCCUCGCAAAUUAGUAAGCAUCUUCAUUAAUUUCACGUGUUGGAACAUGCAAUCAACCUUAUAAAAAAGGACUAGAGGGAUAAACUUUAUUUAAUUCAAAACCUCGUAGCCCUUUCUUCUCAACGGGAGUGUCGUAGGCCUUGAAUUCCUCCUCGUGCAUGUCGCUUCAUGUCGGUAAUAUAUUCUUCAGACUUGCAGAAAAUCCUUAUAAUAACAACUUAGAUGUUACAUCAUGCAAGACAUAAAAUAUCACAACUAUGAAUUUCGAAGAGGAAUUGCUAUGCCUUAGUCUUAUUCUUUUUAAGAGGAAAAGUCACGAAUUGUUUUGCAAAAUAUGGCACAGGCUUAGAACUAAUGCAUAAAACUAGAUAUGAUAUUCAAUUAUAACUCAUUUUAUUCUGAAAAGGUAUAGUUAUCUUAUGAUCAUGUACGUUCUAGAUCAUUAAAAUUCAAGUUAUAUACUUCCUGCGAAUCUAUUUUUGAAACUAGCAUACUUUGUCUAAGACUUUCUUUUUCCACCGAAGAUACGUAGGAUUUGUGAUUUGACGGUCAAAUUAUUAUUAACUUUCAAAUAUGGUAUAAAAUGUAUAUUUAUAGAACACUGUUUCUUAAUCUUAAACAUUCAUGUUAUUUUUAUGUCAAUUUAACUGUUUGGUUAGGAACUCGAAGGAAGCUCCAACAGUAUCGGAAUAUUACCACACAGUACCAACAUUGAAGACACACCAAUCACCAUUAGCUACCACAAAAUAAUUAAAUUAAAUCAAGAACAAAAAAAUAAAUUCACAUGUUAAAGGGAAUUUGCAUCGACCUUACCUAUUUAAUUUGUCAACCAAAACAUCACUAUCUCAUGUUGAAAUUUAAGUUGCCUUAACAUGAAUUCAUGGUAGGAUCACAAUUAUUUUUAAGUUAUUACGGUAGUGGAGGCAUGUUUUAAAGCCCACUUUGGGAUUAUGAAAGAGAUAUAUAUCUCUUGUCCUUAUAUCCUGUCUCUCUUGCAACCAGGGGCGGUGAAGAAGAUAUCAUUGGUCGGAAACAUGUUGCACGCACCUAAUUUUAUUUUCCUUCAUUUGAUUUGAAAAUUUCUGUCUAACUAUAUUAUUUUAAAUUUAAAUAUGUUUACUCAACGCUCUAACUCAAUUGAUUAAGCAUGAUACAUGAUUUAUAAACCCCAAUAUUUAUCUUUAAAUUUUACGGACCAAAAGAAAAAUUAAAUAUGUUUUUAGUGUGUAGUACAUUUUUAACUUGUAUUACAUUACGAAAGAGAUAUUAUAUUUUACUGAUGUAUUCAUUCUAAGUGCACAGGAUAAAAAAUGAAAAUACAUACUAAUUAAUGUAUUUACGUUAAGUGAACGAGAAAAAUUGUGUAAUUAAUACUAAAAAUUGGUUCAACAAUACAUAUUUUCUUUUUAGGCUAUGUUUGGUAAAACUAACGAAAAACUCAAAAGUUAAUUGGUAGUUGAAAAUUAAAAAAAUAGUUUAUUAAAUUAAAAGUGUUUGGUAAAAUUAAUUGUCAAAAUAAUUCAAAAGUGAAAAAAUGACAAAAAUAGACAUAUCUAUAUUCUACUAUUUUAUGUUACAUUUUUUGUGUUAAGUAUUCUACUACUAAUCUUAUACUAUUUCUUAAAAUAUUUUUAAUCAAGUUUAAAAUAAUGUAAGAAAAUAAACUUAAGUAGACAUUAUACUUUUAUUAUGUUAAUUAGUGUAAUAGUUAAAAUAAAUCAUUUAAUAUAAAAUAAUUCAAAAAAUAAUAGACAAAAUAUAGUAUUUAAAUAAUAAAUUAAAUAUUAUAAGUGGUAUGACACGACACCUUUGACUUGAUAGAUCACCAAGUUUAAUCUUAUACAGAUUUCCUUGUCUCUUAACAGAGAAGAGAAUAUAGCAGUCUUAGUUUUGGAUGAUACACAUAUCCUUGUUCAAGUUGACAUUGUAUUCACUAUCACAUGAUUGACUUAUGCUCAGCAGAUUAUGCUGCAACCAUUUAACAAGCAAAAAAACUAUCUAUAAGGGGUAGGGAGGAAUACAAACUUUACCUACACCAGUUAUCAAACCUUUUUGAUUCAAUUCGAAAUUGACCACCCCACCAGACAUAGGGCUUAAGGAUAGAAACAUAGACAUUUUGCAUGUCAUGUGUCGUGAGCAGCCACUGUCCACAUAUCAUGACCAGUGUUUCUUUCAUGCUAUCAAGGGGUCUGCAAUAGGAACAAAUUUUCUCUUAGGUACCCAAAUCUUUUUGGGUCCUUUUACCUUGUUAGCAUGUGGGUGUUGGUAAGCGCUAGAUGGACCCCUUGAGGGGUUUCCCUUUCCAAGGAGGUCCUUGCACUUUUGAGUUUCAUGACCCACUUUUCCACAAAAAUAACAAACGGUGUCUUCUUCGCCAUGUACAAUCUUUUUGCCUUUGAAACCAUGGCCAAAUUUGUCUUUGGGGUUUCUUUGCACUUUAAUAAUUUUGGUAAGGGUUUCAUGACUACCAAUAAAUUGCCUAGAUUAUCUCUCAAGUUUUCUAUCUUGUCAUAGAGUUUUACAAUCCCAGGAGGUAGUUCCUUUAAGACCUCACAUCCCUUAAGCUUAUAGCUCAAAUCAAAAGACAUCUUUUUGUAAUGUUGACAUUCCGUUCAGAGAUCUGAGUCCUUCUUUUUCAGUUUAUGAAGUUCAUCAUUAGCAAGGAUGCAUUCUUUUUUAAGUAAGAGUUUUUGUUUAAACAUUUCCUUGGGUCCUUCUUCUGAAUCUUCAAGAGUUAUGGCUAAGGAUUUUACCUUUUCCUCCAAGUCUUGAAAAUCCUUAAGAAGAGUUUUGUGUCCAUUGGAUACCUUUUCAUCUAGUAGUGCUUUGACUUUCUCACAAAUAGAGGCAUCUUGUGCACUAUCAGGCGAAGUGGUUUCCAGGACAAAAUCAACUAAGUGAACUUGAUGAGCUUCCUUGAGAUCCUUAUGCUAUCUUUCAAGAUGUUGAAAGUGUUUGUUUUAAUUUCCUAUAAGCUUUAGAAACUCGAGCAGAGGCAGAUAGAAGUUGAUUAUAUCCUUCAAUUAAUUCUUCUCUUGAUUCAAAUAUUACCUCUUCACAAUUAGAGUUGACAAUGUCAUCAGACUGAGAGUCCUCAUCAUCUGAACUUGCAUCCAAUGCUGGUUUUGCUUUACUGGUGGAAGCAUCAUCAAUCAAACAUAGAUUGGCUUCUUCUUCACUGUCUUUGUUAGAAAAGUAAUCAUUUAGGUCCUCCCAAGUGCUCAUGAGGCUCUUCUUUUUGGACUUGAAGAAUUUCUUCUUCUUUUCCUAUGGCUUUUCAAGAUCAGGACAUUCUAACUUGAAGUGUCCUGGAUUUUUGCACUCAUAGCAGAUGAUUGGACUUUUCUCUUUCUUGUGGAAUGAUCUCUUAGACAAUCCAUUGAAUCUAGACGAGUUCUUAUUUUUCCAUAUUUUUCUAACUUUUCUUGUGAUCAGACUCAGCUCAUAAUCUUCUUCAUCAGAGUCAUCAUCAGAUUCUUCUUCUAAGGUGUCACUUACGACAAGGGACUUGGACAAUGACUCUUUGGACGUAGUGCUACGUUUUGGUCUUUGAGUUGUAAGGGCUAGCAACUUCCCUUUCUUUGUUCCUUCAUCUUGUGCAAACUCUUGCUCAUGGACUUUAAGAAUCCUAACGAGCUCUUCAAGAUGUUGGAUCGAGUGGCCUCAGAAUAAUUAAGAAGGGGGGGGGGGUUGAAUUAAUUAUUCCUAAACCUUUACCAAUUAAAAAAUUACUCUUUUAAGGCUCUUACUAAAUUGUUAAGAGAAUGAGGAGUAGAAAAGAAUCUUAACAGAAAGUAAAAGCAGAAAUUAAAUGCACAGCGGAAAGUAAAAUAGUAGGGAAGAAGGAAACAAACACACAAGAGUUUUUAUACUGGUUCGGCAACAACCCGUGCCUACAUCCAGUCCCCAAGCGACCUGCGGUCCUUGAGAUUUCUUUCAACCUUGUAAAAAUCCUUUUACAAGCAAAGAUCCACAAGGGAUGUACCCUCCCUUGUUCUCUUUGAACCUAGUGGAUGUACCCUCCACUAGAACUGAUCCACAAGAGAUGUAUCCUCUAUUGUUCUCAGUCAAACCCAAAUAGAUGUACCCUCUACUUGUACCACAAAGGAUGUACCCUCCAGUGUGUUAAGACAAAGAUCUCAGGCUGUUAAACCUUUGAUACUUUGUGAAUGGGGAUACAAAAGAAUUCUCAGGCGGUUAGUCCUUUGAACACUUUUGUAUUAGGGAAUGGGAAGAAUCAAAAGAAUUCUCAUACUGUGUCGUUUUGAAUUCUUUGACAAGGGAGAAGGGAGACACAAAAGAAUUCAGGCGGUUAGUCCUUUGUUCUUUUGGAAAAGGGAGAAGAGAGACA